GGCCAGCCCAGGGAUGUCUGAUCCUGACACACACUCAGAGCUGGGACUAAGGCUUAUUCCAAUAUCUUAAGUCACGUUGGCCAGAACUCAGCUGACCUGAGUGAGCUUUAGCCCUCCUGCCAGUGAGUGGUCACUCAACCAGGUGAGAGGAUCCUUAUUUUACUUGUGUGAUCACUUGAAAUAAAUGAAGUAGAUAGACUCGGUCAGCCUACUUCCCACCAGUCUGUGCUGGGAUGGUGGUUCUGUUGCAGGCUAAGUGUGUUAGGAGUUGCAGUCCAGUAGCCUUUGUAGGGAGGAGUGGGCUCUUUGAGUGCUCUGUAGGGAGACUUUUAGAAAAAACCCUCCAUAAUAUUAUUGAGUGAUUCAUUGCAGCUAGGCAUUACUUUAAACACUGCCAGAUGUAGGAGCAGUCAGUGUGCAGGGGGUAAGUGGGAUUUUGUGUUUCCUUUUGUAUUGGGGAUGUUUGGGCACUUAAAGGGUUAAGGAAGGGUUGCCUCCUUGGUUUAAAUGGAUAUUAGAGGGGGGUAAAUAAAUCUGCACUAAUCACAUUAUCCAGAGACUUAAGGAGGAAAAAAAAUACUUCAUUUGGAUUAAGUGGGAUAUUAAAUUUAACCUUUUAAAUGCCAGGUGUUCUCAAUCCUUUCUGCAUUAAAAUGUUCUAGUAGAGUAUUCAGAAGAAACGACCUCAUCUGCUGCAUAACCUCUUUGCCAUCACAUCACUGGUUUGUAACUGAAUGUGCAAAGUGGUCCUGCCACAGCAAAUGGAGUGGUCUCCUCCUAAUUUAUUAUUUUAUCAUUUUAUAUAGCGCCAGCAGAUUCCGCAGCGCUGUACUAAUCUCCCUGUAUACAAUGUUUCUUUUAACCCCUUCGUACCAAGGCGUUAAAUCAAUCUGUUUUAUAUACAGACUGGCCUGACAAAUCAUGUGGGAUGAUAAAGUUGAGCAGGCAUGUGAAGGGUUAACCAUUUAAAACUUAUUAUUGUGAUGUAAUCCACAGCCAAUUACAGUCUAACAGGUACCAUUAUAAAAAGGUCUAUUUUACAGCAGGUAAACAGUUAGGUAUUGUUCUGUGUUAUUUCUUGUAGCCUAUGACUGUCAAAGGGUUAAAUCACAUGAUUGCUUUUUCCUAACAGUAAAACAACCCAUUUAAAGUUUCCUGUUUUCUAUGUGGAUUUUCUUGUAUCUCCAAUGAUGUUCUAAUAUGAUAGAAUCAUGCAAUGGAUGAACUGGUAACAAAUAUCCUUAAGAGGCCAGAAUGCUCCUAUUUCUAUACCUGGAAGGCCUGGAUUAGAAUCCGAUAACUUCAUUCACUAACUGGGAAUUGUGGAGCACCAACAGGGGAAAUGUUAAUAUUUGGUCAAAGUGGAAAAUUGCCCAGCUCUGGUACUUAACCAGUUCAGCUACUUUGGCCUACAGGGAUUUUCACUAAACGUUGAAUUGUAGCAGAUUACAAGCCGGUUUGCAAAACUAAGGCUAAACUAGCUGAUCUCGAAAGAUUCUCACAUACAGUUAUUGUCAUAACUUGGCUAUUGUAGCCUCAAUCUUGCAAUUUGGAUUUCAGCGUGAUACAUUUCAGAACGUAGUAAAACAACCUUGCUUUUCAAAGUUUGAAUUAAUAUUUAGGGUCAGGUGGCCUUAGUUCUGGUCACUUGGUGACAUCUUUAUGGUGAUAAUUUAGAAUUUUGUAAUGACCAUUUUUUUUUAUGGUGGGCCAUAGGAGGAACUUAUAGUCAACAAAAUGUGACCAUUCCUGGUUAUUCUUAUCAUUGGGCGAUAUCUAUUUAUUUUGUAUGCUUAAACCAUGUAACUAAUCUGUAAAUUUCUGCCUUAGAUCUGCUGUGCCUCCUGAUACAUUCUAACUGUCUGAAAGCCAGUGUUUUGAUAAGGGACCCUUUUGAGAUAAGAUAUCAGAUGUUUUAUCUUUUAAAGGGACACUUCAGACACACUCAAGGCAUGUGAAAUAAACAGCUUUUAGCUCACAUAUUUUUACAAUUUCCUAUUAAUAGUGUUAAAAAUACUUUGACUACUUUCCCGUUCAUCUGUCUUUCUCAUGUUCAUGUAACAGAUCUGGUCAUGAUCCAUUUUCAUUUGCAAAAAAUUAUGAAUGAAGCUUCAAACAAGAGAAUAGAAGCCGUGCAAAAACUUUUUUAUUAACCUUUUGUAAAUAGCUUUAUUUAUAGUGUUUUUAUUGAAUCCCUGCUUUCCUAUGAGAAAAUAGCUGAUGCUGGAUGUCCCCAUGCAGAGCGCGAGGAUGUCCAGAGUCGGUUACCGGAGCAAAAGUAAGCUUCCAUGAGUGCACUUGGAUUAGCUGAGAACUUUUCAACUACUUCUUGGACUGUUGAUUGGUAAUGCUGAAAAUCCACAAGAACCUUUUAAAUGAAGUACUUUAAAUCUAGCAGUCUAUAGUGGAAGGGGUGCAUACUAGGAGCCAAAAUGGUCUGUGGCAUUUGAGGACACUGGCUUUCCUACUGUGUUUUAGAUGAGGUUGAAACCUCUCUUUUUGAAAUUAAGCAGAGAGACAUAGGACAAUUUUAGUUACUAUGGGGAACCUAAUAAGAUUUGUCCCUUAUCUUAUCAUAUAGAGCUUCCUGCUGUGAAUGCUGAGGGUCAUGAUUGUCAUGCUGUGAUACAGUUUCCCUGAAACCAACAAGCUCAUAGUGUUUCACAGGAGCUCAGGGGCAUAACAAGAGACUACAGGCAGGACAAAACUCAGGCGCCCCCUCCCCCCAUGCCACCCCCACCCAACCUUCUAAAAUACAUACACACAUUCACUGACAGAUACGCAUACACUAGCUAACAGAAACACACACACUAACAGACACACUCACUCACACACUCACUAACACACAUACAGACACACUCACUCAUUAACAGACACACUCAUUAACAGACACACUCACUAACACACACACACACAUACAGACACACUCACUCAUUAACAGACACACACUAACAGACACACACUAACAGACACACACACUAACAGACACACACACUAACAGACACACACACACUAACAGACACACACUCCCUAACAGACACACACUCCCUAACAGACACACACUCCCUAACAGACACACACUCCCUAACAGACACACACACACUAACAGACACACACACAAAAGCUCACACACUAACAGACACACACACUAACAGACAUAUACACACACUCACAUUAACAUAUUUUUUUAUUUAUUUACCGCCCCACCCCCCCAGCCUCCUUACCUUUGGGAAUGCUGGGGGUCCAGUGGCUGCUGGGCGGACUGGGCUGGGCGGGCGGCUGGCGAGGGAGCACUUCGUCUGAGCACUCUGCUCAGCUCCCUCGCGCGCUGCAGACGAGGCUGGGAGCCGGAAUAUGAUGUCAUAUUCCGGCUCCCAGCCUCACUCUGCGGCGCGCAAGGGAGCUGAGCAGACCGCUCAGGGGAAGUGCUCCCUCGCCAGCUGCCCGCCCAGCAUGUCAGUUAGCCGCACGGCUAACAAGGCAUUUGCCCUGGGCAUUUGGGGGCGGCCCCUGUAAAAUGCCGCCCAAGGCAAAUGCCUUGUUUGCCUCGCGGCUAAAACGCCCCUGACUACAGGGCUCCAGAUGCAAGAAUUACAAGGGAUUCUCCUGGCCUGGCUUCCAUGACAGGUGGAUCUUCAGGGCCAGGUCGCAACCUUGACCUUUGCUACCCUGGUAGUUCUGCCUUUUCUUAUCAUCCACCUUAGAUUUUUUUGGACUCGUUACAGUUAUAAUUAUAUUUUAUAUACUUGUAAACUAAAAUAAUUAAGUAUUUCAAUGCAGCAUGUAAACAUAUUUCCUCUAUCUUUUCUUCAAAGAUGUAAUUUUUAUUUGAAGAGAAUUUAGAAAUAAAUGUGGUUCCUGACCUUUCCAUAUUCUCUUUGCAAUAGUGUUCCAAAUGUUUUUUUUCUACUGCUGUCUGACCUGCAUCUUGUUUUCUGGACUGACAGGGUCAUCGAUGAGAACAUGGGUGGAUACGAGAUAAUCAAUAAGGAAUGCUUGUCUUCACCUCUUCUCAAGAACAAAGUCACCUAAUGUGUUUUGACUUAACUCUUGAGACUGUUCUGUAAUUAAUAAUCUGUAAAGUGGCCCUUUAAAGCUCUAAUGAGUCUUCUCAGGGUCAAUCUGAAAGUUCCUAAGUCCUUAUUUAUUAAUGUGUUCCUUGAGGGAACUCUGUCCCAUUCAUCGGACAGGACAGGCCCUGCUGAGUUUCAAGUCUAUGAAGAGCUCCUGUGUUAGUGAAUUUGCCUAAUUAGUGUAACAUAUUGAGUUAGAAUCUAGGAAAAUCUCCCAGAAAUUUCAGUCUAAGUAUAAAGACAACUCUCUGGGUUUUAAACUCCGUGUUGGUACUCUGACACUGUGUUUAAUCUAGAAUAGGUGUCAUUGUGACCAUAUCCAUUCUACAAACCUCAAUGACUGCGUCAGAAUUGCAAUCUCUAUUUGUUAUUCAUCAAAUAAUAAAAUGGGCCACCACGACUCUGGUGCAGUUUGUAGUUACAGUCACUUGUUUUCACUGACCUGAAGGAAUCAUGAGCUAUAGCAAUUAUUUAAUUUAAGUCCUGCUGUUAGAUUUUAUUUCAUUUUUAAAGCGGAGCUGGUCAUUUUUCUCAAAGUGCAGUUAACACAAGGCCUCAUUCAGUGAACAAUUAUCCACAUUCAUCUUGAUACAUAUAUGUUUGAGAACUGGUGCACAGUUAUAUAUUUAACAUGUGUUUGCUUCAUAUACAGGAAUAGAUUUAUGAUCUUAAUAUUUAGCCCCCAGCCUGGGGGUUAUAGAAUAAGAUAUUGCAUGACAACCCAUCUUUAAAAUAUUAAUGGCUCACUCACCGCACAGAUUUGAAGAAUAGCCACAUUGCCCCGCUCUCAUUGCUUAUUUUCAAUUUUUAACCAUUUACCCUCUAUCAGUGAGAUGUGUGGGAAUCUCUGUGCAGAUUUGAAAGCCGCUUGGUUAUUAAUAAAUGUCUGAAUUCUAUAUUUCACGGAAAAAUGUAUUAUAUUUUUAGGAUAUUUAGGAAAGUAUUUUUGUUGUUGUUUUUUCUUUUUUUUUGUUAUAUACGCAGUGAGUAGAAAUUGCCUGCGAAUUUUGCAGGCUGGAGACUUUUUCAGUAGUUGCUGAAAAACCCUGAGAUACUUUUGUUCUAACUUGUAACAAAUCUUCCAAUUGCUUGUUUUAUUUCCAUCUUUAAAUGUUAUUUUGAGGAAGAGGAGGACUAUUUCACUACUCUGCUCACUGGGACUGGUCAGGGCAUUCAUUACUCUUUUACUAAGUGUCCCCUGUAAUGCACUAUUUAUGGUGGUUGGAAUCUUGAUAUCCCUGUAUGAAAAAGGGCAAAAAAAACCUCUUUAAAUUCUUGUACUGAUAAAAAAGACUUACAAUGUGUUCCAUGUAGCCCUCUGGCAAGGAAAGGGUUAAAUGUUCUGAGAGGGGGAGGCAGAUAUCACCUGAAUAGGGUAGAUUGAGAACUCUGACACAUCCAGCUUCCUCUUCAGGAUCUUUUUAUAGUCCUUAGGUUUGAAUUGAAAAGGAUUUGGGAAUAAGCACACAUAGGUGAUAACGCUUGCUAUGAGCUCUGAAAAGUGCCAUCUACACAAGAAGUGGGAUAAAGUUGGGGGAGGGGGAGUGUUGUUGAUCCAUAGAAACAUCCAGAAUCUAACAGAAUGUUGACCUAUUCAUCACAGCAAGUGAGCCUUUAUCUGUUCCUUGUCGUGUGACCCUAUUCUAGUCAUUGCUCAUAGCGGACCGGCUGAUGUGUGUACAGUACUGUGAUUUUUAUGGCUUACCCAUCGUGUGCCAUUCUGUAAAGGAAAUACAUAGUUGUGGACUAAAUCAUUACAUGUUAGUGGGGUGAGCAGUUCUUUGCUCAUGUGCCACCAGCAUUUUAAAGGGACACUAUUGGCACCAAAACAACUUUAGCUUAAUGAAGCCAUUUUGGUGUAUAUAUCAUACCCCUGCAGUCACACUGCUCAGUUCUCUGCCAUUUUGGAGAUAAAUUGCAUAUUUAUGCAGCCCUAGUCACACCUCCCUGCAUGUGAUUUGCUCAGUAUUCCUAAACACUUCCCUUAAAGUUCUAAUUUUUAAACUUACUUUAUAUCACAUUCUGGUUAAAUUAGAAUUUCCUAUCUCUUGCUCUUUUAGUAGCCUUAAAGACCCUGCAGGAGCAUCCUGUGCGUGAUUUAAAGGGACAUUAGUCACCAGAACAACUACAGCUUAAUUUAGUUGUUCCGAUGAGUAUAAUCAUUGCCUUCAGGCAUUUUCAUGUAAAGGCAGUGUUUACAUUACCCCUAGAAACACAUCAAAGUGGCCAUUCCUCAGAUGGCCACUGGAGGUGCUUCCUGGGGCAGUCCUGCACAGUAGGCGCUGCAUGAAAAUGCAGAAUUUUCCUCAUAGAGAUGCACUGAUUCAAUGCAUCUCCAUGAGGAGGUGCUGAUUGGCUAAAACUACGUUUGGUCCCGCCUCCUUGCCGAUUUCCGCCAAUCCAAUGCUUUUCUUAUGGCAGGUCUGGGGCCUGCUUAGCGCUGGAAAUAAGGUGAGUCUUGUGUUUGUUCCUAACCCUGUAGUGUUCCUUUUAAGUUUAUUGACAGAGCAGAAAAUAAUAACUUCUAAUAUAUGUUAACAUCUGCUUGAAAAUUACUAUAUAUUUUUUUUAAUUCAUGUUGGCUGUGUGCACAGCCAUGAGCUGUUUGCCUAGAGCUGCAUAAACAGAAACAAAAAUGGCAUAUAAUUGAGCCGUGAGUCUGUAAGGGCAUAAUAUAUACACUAAAACUGUUUUUAUUAAAGGACUACUAUAGUGCCUGAAAAACAUACUUGUUUUCCUGGCACUAUAGUGCCUUGAGGGUGCCCCCACCCUCAGGGUCCCACUCCCGCCAGGCUGUAGGGGGAGGAAGGGGUUAAUCCCUUACCUUUUUUCCAGCGCCGGGCUCCCUCGGCGCUGGGACUCUCCUCCCUCUUCUUCCGUCACCGGCUCAAUGUGCAUGCGCGGCAAGAGCCGCGCGCGCAUUCAGCCAGUCUCAUAGGAAAGCAUUCUCAAUGCUUUCCUAUGGACGUUGGCGUCUUCUCACUGUGAAAAUGAGAAGCGAAGUGAGAAGCGCGGAAGCACUUCUAGCGGCUGUCAAUGAGACAGCCACUAGAGCCUGGAUUAACCCUAAAGUAAACAUAGCAGUUUCUCUGAAACUGCUAUGUUUACAGCAAAAAGGGUUAACCCUAGCUGGACCUGGCACCCAGACCACUUCAUUGAGCUGAAGUGGUCUGGGUGCCUAUAGUGGCCCUUUAAGCUAAAGUUGGUUAGUUGCCUAUAGUGUUCCUUUUAAGGUUUAAAAUAAGUUAUACAUGUUGUGAUGGCUGUUGUAGCCACAGCAUAUCUAGUGCCUGUUCAAAGCUCUUGGCCACAGGUUGUGUUCCCAGCAGAGUAAACCCAUGCCUUGUGAGGUACCAUUCAUGCUUCUGAGGUAAAUUGAAUGUCAUUGAGCAAUUUGGUGCCCAUCCUUGGUGUCCAUCUCAAAUAUCUUUACACAAUGUACUUCUCAUGGUACACCCACAUUUAGGUUGUAGUAAAAAGCUAAGAUUCCAUCUAUACAUUGUAUUAGGAUAUGUAUAGAUUUUAUAAUAAAUCAAUAUAAAUAUAUCUCCUCACCACACAUCUAAAAGAUGUAAACUUCAACUCCUGAUGGUCUGUGUGUUUAUGCCACUUUACAAGAAGCUCAGCCCCAGCCGUCAGAAUUCGGUCUAUAUGUUUAGGACACAGCACCAAAUGGGAGAUAAACAUCAGGAAAGUAUACAUCUGUCAGUCAGUACACAUUCUGACAGAAGUACUAGCACAAUGCACAGACUGUCUUGUUGUUUAUAUUGCUUUUUCUUUUCCUGAUAUGAAUCCUUUGUGGAUGGCCCAUGUACUUUAAAACUAGGUUUAGGUUUUAUGCAAGGAAAAACAUUGCCGAUAUGUUCAGAUUCCUCAGAGCAGUAACCCACGCAUACCACAAACACCUUCUGAUUACGUAAAAGCAUUUAUGCAAUACACCGUGAAGGAAAUUAGGUUAUGAGUUGUUUUUUCUUUGCCAGUCCCAAUGGUGCCAGGUAUAGUUCACAUUAUUUAUAUCGUAUCCAGAGCUGCCAAGUUUUUGACGUCUGUGAUUGGCAUAAGGUGGAAUGUGAGUGUAGAUAAGCCCAAUGAAUUGAUGUGUCAAGGCAAUUAGUGUCAUUGGCACUGUGCUGAGGGUAUGGUCAUCCUGAUGUGCAUGCAUGCCAAUCAAAUUUGCCCAUAUAGUGCGCAAAGAUUAAUCGCUUACAAGAAUGAUGAAAUGCCCUGUAAUUCACCAACAGUGCAACGUGAGAAGAAUUAGCACUUUGCCCAUCUUCCUCAAACUGUGUGUCAGAGCUAGUCUAUUAAAGGGACUUUAUGGUCACCAGAACCUCUACAGCUUAAUAUACUGGUUCUGGUGUCUAUAGCCUGUCCCUGCAACCUUAGAUCUGUAAACACUGCCUUUUUAGAGAAAAUGCAGUGUUUACAUUGCUGCCUAGGUAAAUCUCUAGUGGGAGGCACUCAGACAGCCACCAGAGUCACUUCCUAGUCCAGUGCUGCAGAGUGUGCAAUACUGGCAUUCAACGUCUCCAUGCUCUGCAUGUAGGCGCUGACCGUUCCCAACUGAGAUGCAUUUACUAAUGCACGCAUGCGCAAUAGCCUCCCAAUGGGGAAAGCAUUGGAUUGGCUGAGAUGAUCGAGAUUAAUUAUAUCAGCCAUGGAGGAGGCACUAGUGAGACCGGUGUGACAGGGAAAAAUGUGAGUAAUAUACCCUAUCCACUGAGAGGAUGGGUUGCGGACCUAAAUGUCAGUUCCUGCACAAUUGUGUCCGGAGUAAAUGUUUUUGUCUUCCUGAUACUAUAGUGUUCCUUUAAAUAGUUGGGAAGAUUCUUCCAUGCCAUUUAUUACAGCAUACAUUCCAAGUGUCUCUAUUUAGGAGGGAGAGUCCCUAUAUUAAGACCCAAAUCCCCAAGUCCCUUUUGUCUACCCUAAUGUCCCUCUGUAAUAGGUGCUGUGACGGACCGCUGGCACUCCGACCGAGUACCUCCGCCAAUCGAUGCUCCUAGCGCUUGCUGAGGACUCCAAGCACUUCAACCGACACCAUCAGCACUGCGGACCCCACUUCUAGCGAUGCAGCUGCGCCGGGGUCUCGCCGUCUCUCACCCACCCUGGAUCCACGACCAGGAUCCAGCUCCCAAUGGGUGAACCUCUCCCAAAUCCAGAGAGCGUAGCAGGAACAAAUCAAGCUCUUACAAGAGCUUACUCUGGGGAGUAAGUGAUUAUAGCAAUCCCCAGAGUGUAGGUAUCCCUUCCCCCAAGCAUGAGCCAAGGCUUCAAGAAAGGUGCAAGUGGGUCUGGUUUAUUGAAGGCUACCUGCCCGGUAUUUAUGCAAGUGUCCACCAGGUGGACACUCCCCUAGGGGACCUGAUGGAACAAUGGGACACAUAUUGGAUAUUAGCCAAUCACAGACAAUACAAACAAAACACUCCCACAGUGACAUCACAAUCCCUCCUCUCUAUCCUGGAGAUAAUUGGGAAGUAAUCAAAUUAUCUCCCAGGACAGAGGCAAGACUCCAUUAACCACAUGGUUACAAAAAGACAUACAAUUACACAAUGUUACAAUUACUAUAUAAAACACAUACAUGCAACAUAUCCCCAGAUAGCUUAGAUCUGAGCGCACAUUAUUAUCGAAUGGCGCUCAGAUCACAUACAUACAGUUCAAUUGCCAUGGAGCCAAAGUCUUUUCCAUAGUCUUUCGUUACACGAAUAGGCUCCAUGGCAUAGCUAUCUGGGGUAGCACUACUCACAUACUGAAAGUCCCGAACGCCCUGGCAGAAAUACUCAAAUAAACCUUUCUGCAGGGUAAAAUACAGCUAUCAGCACAGGGGCCAUAGUCGGAAGGCAGGAGGCUAGCCAGUAGUCCCCUCCAGGCACAAGUGGCGAAGGGCACUUCGUCACAGGUGCUCCAUAUUGUUGUUGUCUGAGUGUAUAACAGAGCACCAUGAUAACGUGGAGUAUCACAGUAAUGUGUCUUUAAACUACAAUAAAUGUGUUCAGAAAUCAACCUGUGGAAGAGACAUGUUGUUCUUGUCCCAAAAUUUAAUUUUAGUUACAUACAUUAUUUAGUCUUCUAAAAUACUCUGAACAUUUAAAAUGUUGGUGGGUAUGUUCUAGGGUACUAUCAGGUUUUUAGUUGCAUGUUUUGUUUUUUGUUAUCCAGUGAGAUGUAAAAUAAGUUUUGUAUCACAAAAUGUAUUUCUCGGAUUCUUUCUGUUGCAGGCGGAAGGGAAAUGUGAGGAAUAUAUUAAGUAAUAUACUUACUAUGUGUCUGCCUGGGUGUCCUAAUGCAGGCUGGUUUGCUUAUAGCAGUUCAUAUCACUUGGUGCUGCUCAUGUGUAAGCUGUAAACAUAUAUUGAUAAGGAAGUCAUGGCAGGGGAAGGGAAGAGGGGGCGGGGGGGCGGCGAUUCGGAUUGUCUCUAAGGAUGCAGGCUUAUAGGCUUUUCACCUAAACUGGUUACUCAACCAAAAAACUGUGUUACUAAAACCUGUUUUUGGCUAGAGCAACCCUUCAUAUCCUGGUGUGUGUGUCCACCGCCCAAAAUUUAAAAAUAAAAACACAACAUGGGUAAAGCUUACCUUUAUUCCAGCACAGAGGCCAGUUCUCCCUUCAGCCUGAUUCUCCACUGCUGACGUCAGUCCUGCACACUGCAUGGAUUGGGUAGCUGCCAUUGGACUCCUAUUGCCAUCAUGCUGUACAUGCUGACCUCAGAUGUCCAAUAUGCACAGAACUGAUUUUAGAAAACCCACACCAAUACCCCGCGACAGAACCGCUCGAAAGUGGCUCUGUCAUCUGUGGUUUCUUUUAUUGUAUAACUGUAAAGGUCAGUUUGAACAAUAGCCAGAUUGACAGUCUGAUUGCAUUUACUCAGUAGCCAAAUUGGAGGUAGGAUUUAAAAAUAAAUAAAUAUAUAUACUUGUACUUUGCUACAUUAUGAUCUGCUUGAAUAAUCUCAGAUCCAUGAUGCUUGUCUGCAUCUAGAAAAAGUAAUCGCUUUUUCCAUGCUGACGAUAAACAAGUGUGAAGACAUUGUAACUAUGCAACGUUUGCCUGCAGUGGCUGUACUCCUCCGUUUUAGCAGGCAGCUGUUUGUAGUAAUUAUGCUGGAUUACAGAUGUCUGGUCACUGUAGUAAUAUGUUGAUUUUACAUCAUUUUUAAAGGUGAUUGAAGGUCAUAUUAUCAGAUUGUUGUUUUUGCCUGAGGUUUCAUGCCACAACUGUGUUCGUUUAAUUUAUUUGCCUAAAAAAAACACUUGUCAGUCCUGUGUGAAAUAAACGUUGGACAUGUUGUUGUUGUUUUUAAAGGUUUAUAACUAGUGAUGCCACUCCUGGCAUUGCGAUUAGUCUGUACACACAUUGACGUCACGCUGAGCUGUCUGACACCAUAUUUUGAUGUGUCCUGUUACUGCACAUAUCUGGUAUAAAGGUGGAAGACAUUGGGACAGAAAAAAUAACUCCAAUAAUAAGAGUGGAGUGAGCUUAUGAGAGCUUGUAAAAAGGGUGAUGUGAAGCAGAAUGCUUAAUACGAAGGAGACCAGAAUCUGACAUCUUAGAAGGGACUGAAAUAUAUGAAGGGAAAGUUCAGGAACACGAAUGGAGAGACCAGACAAUAUGACAGUAUAGAGGGAAUGAGACAAGGAAAAGUACAGCGAAGAUGUGCCCUGAUGCAUCUAUUUCUGUUACUUCCGAAUAUUUGGCAUUCAGGCUUAAAGCGAUACAAUAGUGCUAGGAACUUUUUUGUACUUACCCGAUUCAAGCGCUGAUGUCCCUCAUUGCUGGGUCGGCACUCUUUCCCCUUCCAAUGUCACAGGACAGGAAAUGCUUAUGCACAUGCGCAGCAGAUGUUGAAAGCACAUGAAAGCCCUAAUUUUUUGCUUUGCUGCAAUGCUUUCUUAUGGGGAAUUGACUGGCGUUCGAUAUCGUCAUGCAUAGCAUGAGGACAUCCAGGUCAGUUAGGAGACCAAAAGUCGCAUUGGAUUGGAGGGAGAAAAUGUGACUAAACUUAUUUUUUAAUCCUUGCAGUAGGGGCCCGGUCACCUAAAUGGUGACUAGGACACUGAAGCAUAAGGAAUAAACAUUUUUUAUUCCUAAAGCUAUGACACGGAUAGGCAGCCUUCGGCACUCCAGAUGUUGUACACUCCUCUGUUUCCCCAGGGUUAUACACAUUUUUUUUUUUUUUUUUUAAUAUAUACAGAAGAAAAUACUUAACUCCCACAAGAUGUAGUAUUCACAAUACAAUAUAACUGCGCUUUUUUAAUUGCACUCACAGUGUGUUGGAAAAAUGUUGCACCUUAGGAUGACUCCCCUGGUAUAGCCUGGGGGGCUUUCACCUUCUUCAGGUCCCUCUUGGUACACAGAUCUGGUCUGUUGCGAAAUCAGAGAAUCUGAAUAUAAGGUGCGACUUUUUCCAACACACCGUGAGUGCAAUUUAAAAAGCGCAGUUAUAUUGUAUCCAACUGUAUCACACUGUUGUUUGUUUUCCUCCUCAGAUGUUUAGCUGAUUCCCAAAAAUAUCAUUGUUUGCAUUCCCCAGGGUUAUGCCUGUAGCAUUAUGGGAGAUGUAGUUCACAACAUCUGAAGUGCUAUAUGUUGCCUACCUCUGUGCUAUAGUGUUCCUUUUAAGAACCUUUACCAUCACUCUUUCUGACUUUUGCUGUGACUGUUUCUGGGUCCUUGAAAACAGGCUUUUGUUAAUGUACUUUCAUACUCCAAGGGAUACUAGAGUGCCAUGAGAACAAAGCUGUAUUUCUGUCACUAUAGCACCCUCUGCAUACCCCUGCCUCACACCCCCCAAGUGAGUGAAUAAAGGGUUAAAAACACUUUAUUUACUUACCUGACCCCAGCGCCGAUGUCCCUUGGCACCGUGUCGACUCUCCACUUCCUCCUCUGUACCGUGACAAGUGGGCACUAAUGCGCAUGCGUGGCAAAUGCCGCGUGCGUAUUAGAACUCCCCAUAGGAAAACAUCUAUGGGGAAAAAAUAUGCUCAUUACAUGCAAAUAGUGAAACCGGAUUGGGCAAGCAAGCAUUACAUUGCACAAAAGGAAUUGGCUUAUUGGUCAAGAUUCUUGUCAUCAUUCUCGUAAUUUUCCCUCCCUCUCUCUUGUUUUACCACUUUUCAGAAAUCACUUCGGCAAUUCUCGAACUUCGGCACUUUGGAACCUCGGCACUUCAGACAUUCGUAAGCAUCUGAAUGUCCAAAUGGCAUAAAACCCGUACAUUCGGAAAGAAACAAAUUGCACAUGUCUAGUGCCUAUAGCAGGCUUCCCCAAACUCUGGCUGUCCAGAUGUUGCUGAACUACAACUCCCAUGAUUCUAUGAAUGAAAUAGGCUGAAAAUCAUGGGAGUUGUAGUUCAGCAACAUCUGGAGGGCUGGAGUUUGGGGAAGCCUGGCCUAUAGUGUCCCUAAUGUAUCGGUUUGUAACUUUUUAAUUUAAACAGCACAGAUUGCACACAGAUAAUAAAUUUAUCUAGAUUCUGUCUUGAUCAGUUGUUUUCUGUUACUAGGAUAGUUUUAAACAUUGUGUAUCACUGCUUGAAAGGUCCACCUGGUAUGGUUUUAUAGCGAUCAGCAGUGAGCGUUAUAAAAAGAACCAGAAGCUUUCUCCCUGUGCUAUGCACAGAUCCCUGACAGCCUGUCACUUAGCUGAUGUAUAUGGACUGUGGAGUCACUAACUGUGAUCACAAUACUGAGUCACGGUAUCUCUUAAUGACCUCAGUUGAAGCCUUUACAGAAUCUUCAUUCUACCCUUACACAAGACCCCAUUUAACUUCCACUUGAGCACAGUUAUAUUUAAUCUGGCCACAAUUAACUGAAUUGAGUGCAGCCUAUUAGAUGAAUGAUGAAGAGUUUCGCAAGCUCGGCAUAGAAAUAGCCCUACCGAGACAUUGUCUGACUUUUAUUACUGUCCAUGGAGCUCUUUAACCCAUUAAGGACACAAGCCUUUUUUUUGCUGUUUGUGUUCAAACGCAAUUUGCAUCUGUCAUUUAUUGCACCAACACAUAUUAUAUACUGUUUUUUUUUUUUUAGAGGGCAAAAAGCGCUUUAAUUUGAUGUCACAUAUACAUAGAUAAAUUAUCAUUAAUAUGUCCAGCUUAGAUCAUUCAAAAUAAAUUCAUUUAUGUGUCUUGAUUUAUAGAGUACAUAAUAUGUGUAGGAUUUCAGCUUAUUUUUAAAGUUACAGGACACAAAAUACAAGGAUUUAAACAAAAUUUCAAUGUGAAACAAUUUUAGAAGUUGGUAUGUUAGUCUUGUAGGUUUAGUAGCCAUCACAAAAUUAUAUAUUUAUAUAAAGUAGACAUCAAAGGCUAUUUACCUAAGGUUAUUUUGAAACUUUUUAUAUAGCCAUUUCAUCGCCAAUCUCUGCUAAAUAUUGGAGUAAAAUCAUAUUUUUUCUUUAUUUUGGCAUAUACACAUAUAACAAGGUUUUUGUAAUGUGUAUUUCGUAAAACUGGUGUGUGCUAUUCCUGGACAGAAGAACCCCAUAUUGUGUUCAGCUAUAUCUGCUGAGUAUAACGAUACCCCCAUUAUAUGCCUUUGGCACUAUUCUAUGAAGCUACAAUGCCAUAUAUUGUUCCUGUUACAUUUUGUUAUUGUCUCUUAUUGUAAAGUGCUGCAGAAUAAGCUGGCACUAUAUAAAUGCUAAUAAUAAUAAUGAUGAUUUUAAGAGACCAGGCUAUUUCAGUUUCAAUAGUUAAAAUUUUCCUAGAUGGAUUUGACGGGCCUAUGUCCAGGACAUACUUGAAAACAAGAGAAAUCUCAGUGUAUCCAUCCUGGUAAAUUAUUUUAUGAAUAAAUGUCUAAUUUUGGAGUAUUAUAGCAGUUUUACUGUUCAAAUAACCCCAUAAAGGGCUUCCGUUUGAUAAAGCAAACAUCACAGGGUAUCUUAUUUAGUGUAUAUUGUGCCUUAACUUGUCACCAUGUUUCCACCAAUUUAUGCCAAUGUUUGUGCUAAGUUGGGAAAAAAUUUAAUUUUUUGCAUUUCUUACACUUUAUAUGUGCCACUGUCAUAAAAUCCCCCAAAUUAUGCUCAGUUACAUCUUACAAACUGUAUGGGUAAAACAAUAUGCCCAAUGUAUGACCUAGAUCCUAUUUUGUGAAGUUACAGUGCUGUAAAAGAGAUGUGACAAGUUCAGGUUUUUAAGUGUGAAUUUUCAUGGAGGGGUUUGAUGCGUCCGUAUAAACUUUUAAAAACUUUAUUUUUAAACUUUUUUUUUUUUAAAGUUUCUUUAAACUUUAAAAAAAAAUUAUAAACUUUUUCAAAUUUUAAUAUUAACCCCUAACUAGCAGUAAGCAUCACUAACAGUAAUUUCCCAAUUUCCCAUAACUCCCACCAACCCCAGCUAGCAAAAUAUAUAAUUUUAAAAUAUAUAAAUUAAUUAAUGAAAUAAAUUGAACCCCUGUGACUAUGGCCCCUGGGGUUUUAUGCCAAUAUCAGGCGCACACAUCUUAUUUAAAGACAAGAAUUUUUGAUUUUUUUUUUUGGUAGUGAGGAUUGCGUUUUGACUCAGUACUGAGAACCUGCAAACUAUUUUACAAUUAGUUUUUAUGUAAAUAACAAAUUUAGAAGUGUCGUAGAGUCUUCCUUCCCCAAUGAGGUAAAAAGUGGCUACCCCUGCUCCAAUGACAGAUACUCAUCAUGUGGGAAAUGGUAGAUGCAUAUACACCUUUAAAUACUUCUGGACAUUGGGACGAUAGCUAGAUUUGGAGAAUAGUACACUGGCUGAGAUUCAUGCAAAAUGUAUGAUAUUAUGGCUGGGUUAGUUAUCACAGACUGGCCUAGCAUUGUCCUCCUGUUGAUGGGUUGCACUUCUGGAAUUGAAAAACCCUGUUACAGGAUGUUUCUGAUCAGCACUUUGUGGAUGGACCUGCAUGGCUGUCAAGUGCAGUUGUUUUACAAUUAUCUUGUGUCCCUUAGGGUUGGUCUAAGUGGUUCAUGGUUGGAUAAGCUCCUAAUCGGCUCUUACAUGAUAAACAUGUAUGAAGGAGAAAGCAUUUCUAAUGGCACCGUUUCCAGUACUGUGCAAGGCAUUAACUAAAUUAUUUCAUUAUCUCCAAGUAUCAGAUCUGUACAAGAUUGCAAUUCUAAGCUGAAAGCAUGUUUAUGUAUAUAAACUCUCUGUGUAUGUGUAUACUUCCUCUGUAUACAUGCAGACCUGGUUGGAUGUGUAUGAGCCCGAUGCAACGCUUUCACCACUCCUGCCCCUGGAUGUCAAUGGCAUUCCUUUACUUUAGUUGUCACUAUGCACUGAGGAGUACAUAGGAGUAAUAUAUUAUUAUUAAAGGGAAACUAUAUACAAUGAAACUUGUUGUGGUAGAAGUCGUUCCUGGGUGCAGCCCCUUUGGUUUUAGUUAACACAUAAAAAAAAAAAAAAAAAAAAAAGUUAUUCAACAAAAAAUGGAUCUUGCAUUGCAUCCAGAGCCCAUCCCUGCACUGCCACUGUGAUAAUGAUCUAUUUAGAUAUAUCUGUGUUUGAAUGGUGUUGGUUUUAAAGUGCGUCUUAGGGAAGAGGCCUGGGGGAAAGGGGUGGUAUUGAAAGACUCUUUUGCAUCAUAACCACUACAAUAAACUGCGGUGGUUAUGGUGCUAGACUGCCUCUUUAAUUGUACAUAGUGUUUCUCUGCUCAGUUGAAUCACUGUAAUCUACUUGGAAAAUGAGCCACAAUUUUGUCCCUAUUUAUUUUAUGCACCCUUGAAAUGUUUUAUUUAAAGCCAAGUAGAGAUCACUGACUGAAGCAGACAAAUAUUUAAUUUAAUCCACUAAACAAAUGAGUCACAUUUCCUUGUAAAUAUCUUAACUGACUUACGUGGACUGGUUUAAUAUGUUCCACUAAUUGAUCUUAAGGCAAAUUUAUCAAAAUGCACAAAUUGUUUGAAAGGUAUCUAAAUAACACAGUUACAAUGUUUGAUGGAAAAAUACCUUCUUAAAAGAACACUCUGUAGUGGAAUUACUAGUUGACUGCUCGGAUUUAAUUUACAUUUUAUAUUUGGCACAGUAAGAGCAUAUCUUGUAAAUUAAAUUUAACUAUCAUGGUGCUGUGCCACUGUGAAGGGGGAAUGGGAACAUAUGGUAUUUUGGAAGGAACGUCGUAUCAUGGGGUGAUGAUAUUAUCCUGAACACAAAAGUACUGCAGAGCUAAUUGUGUUUUACUUUCGUAGAAGGGCCAGUUCUUCUUUAAGGAGAAUAUAUAUAUAUAUAUCUAUAUAUUAUACACACAUUGCAGUGUUCUCUAGAUGGGUGUAGUCAAUAGUAUGCUUCAGGUUUAGAGACCCUGCAACAAACAUUUCUAUCAUUAAGAGAGACCCAGCUUCGCAAUUAAAGAGGCACAUUUAGCACCAGAACUACCACAGCCCAUUGUAGCUGUUAUGGUGCCAUCAUGCCCCUGGUGUAAUCCUCCAGUUCUGUAUCAAACAGUUUUUGAGCAGUUUGACACAAACUGAGAGGCCCACCAACAGCUUGGCACCUCACUCUGUUUAAUGUGAAGUUUCAUUGGUAUUGAUAACAGUGGCAGAACUAAUGUAGAGAAGAUUUUUUUUUUUUUUAAUUUUGAGCCGCCACUGUAGCACAAUUGUUGCCAAAGGGUAGAUCCUCAGCUGUUGUACAAUUAUCAAAAUGCUUCUGCCAGAUGGAGAUCUACCAUUUGCCCAUCCCUGUUGGAUUGUAUUUGUGAGCAGUGUCUCUGUGUUUUGAAUUUGUGUGUAGUGUUAGUGUUUUGAAUGCAGUGGUGUGUUUGUAGUGUUGCAUUUUUAAUGCAGGUGUAUAUUUUGUGAAUGUGUAGAGCUGAUGUUUGAUUGCAGAGGUGUUUUUAUAUGUGGUAUUGGUGUUUUAAUGCAGUUGUGUUUAUUGUCUCUAGUUUAUAACUGCCGGGUUGGAUUUGUGUGUGUAGUGUUGGCAUUUGAAUGUUGGGAUAUAUGUGCCAAGUGUAGGCACCAUUGCAGCCCAAUGUUAGAGCCGUGCUAGCACGUGUAUGGGUUAACAUGCCUCUGUUUUUGUUCUUGGGUUAGUGACCCUCAAUUUCUGGGCUCUUUGGGGCUGGACCGAUCUGCUAGAAGUUUCUGAGAGAGCUGUAGGAUCUAGAAUUGAAGGGGAAUUAUAAUCACCCACACCACUUCAUCUCAGUGAAGUGGACUUGGUGCAAUGUCACUCUAGUAUUAGCCCGCAUUCUUGCCAUUCUGCAGGUUUUAAAUGAUUCUAUUAGCUGUCACACUGAUGGCUUCAAAAGCUGCUUCAGAAAAAAUAGCCAAGUGAAAUAAUGUCCAUAGAAACCAUGUGAUUGGUGCAAGACGGCGUUUUGUUGGUAAAGAAAACUAACCGUUUGAACCAUUACAUGGUGGGGGGAGGGGGAUGGAUGACAUUAGAACAGUUAGAUAAAAAUUAUAGCAUUAGGAAUACACAUUUGUAUUUGUAAUUAUUUAUAUUUUAUUUAUUAUUUAUAAAAUAUUUUACCAGGAUGUAUACAUUGAGAUUUCUCUCGUUUUCAAGUAUGUCCUGGGUAAUUCAUUCUUCUGUUUCAUUUGGCAAGGUAUACAAUAGUUAUUUGUUCUUUAUUCAUAUUUAUUCAGUUAAAUAUUAUUUUUUUUUAAAUUUAUAAAUUGUGCUAUAAUAUUACUGUAUCUGUAUCGUAUGUCUUCACAACAAUAAUUUUCACUUUUAUUAAAGAAUAUUAUAAUAGGGGCUGGGGAAGACCUAUUAUACUAAUUGCAAAAUAGCCCAUUAAUUUGUACUUGUUCACUAGGUCAAAAGUUGCCAGCCCUCCCCUGUCCUUACGCAACAGCUUGCACCGAUAUUACAGAGUUGCCCUGAGAUUAGAGGAGCUGCAUUGUUCUAAUUCUGUUCUGUAGACUACGUACAGUGACGAUAAAAUAUUAUUUUGAAUUAUGGAAAGUGAGCUAUAGUCCGUGCUGGUUCUGAACGGUGGUCACACAGCCAGUCAGAUGUACUAAGUUUCUAAAUCUUGAGUCAUGUUGUUGAUUUGACACUGGAUACGGAGUUUCUCAUUUUAUGCUUCCGUGUCCUGAUUAGUCAACUCUACCAGUAUGAUGCAUGGAAGUUAAACUCCAUAUGGAUGAGCAGCUGUCUAAUAACUUAAUAGUCUAUGAAUGAAAGUUUCAAUAAUGCUUUAAACAUGCUUUUUAUUGGGUCACUGAGCUAGUGCCCAGAAAUACAGGAACAUUUUAAAGAUGGCCAUAAGCAACGGCCGCCUUGCAUAAAUCUAUUCUCGUCUCGGUAAAUUCUCCAUGAGAAACACAUUGUAGGAUUGAAUUUUAAAAUGUUGAGGGGGGGCUGCUAAGCUUCCAUUUUAGCGUGUCCAAUGACCUUGCAUGAAGGGAUGCAUGUACUAAUGUAAAAAAAUAAAAUAAAAAUUAUGAUGAAUUUCAUCUGGUUUAACAAAAACUCAUUUUUGUUGCUCUUAUUUUUCUUUGUGUGUUAAAAUAGAAAUCUAAUAAUGCUGUGAAUAUAACAAAUACAAUUUAAAAGAAGUAACAAUUGCAAUUCUGAAAUUCGGGGGAAUGAAAGCUACAUAAUUGCUGAUGGGUUUUUGUUUUAAGCGAUGGCAAUUUAUCUAUCAGUUUACAGAGAAUUCUGGGAAAGGUCAAGGUGCCUCACCCUGGAUAAUGAUACAUGACCGUUAUUUACUGGGAUAUUAAACUCGCUUAUAUCGCAUUUGAUUCCUGCAUACUAUAAGCUUAAAUGUGUGUAGACUUUUAUAGGAAACGCGGUAAUAAAAGCUUGUGUUCUAUUAAGUUUUUGAGGAUGACUGUGUGUGAUCCAGAAAUGCAGGGCCAUCGGGGACCAAACAGCCUCAUCCUGCGGUUAAAGGAUAACAAAAGUUUAGCACUCCCAACUCUUUUAUGACUUGCUCAACUUACCCCUUUAUCAGGCUUUUGAGGGGUGGAAUAUACCAAAUUGGGGGCCGACAGAUUAUUUCUUCAUCUUCAAUUUUUAGUGCCGUUGCAUGAGACUUUGUCAGACCUCACUGGAUCCAAACCACAUUUAUCCAUAAGUUAAAAAUCAGUAAGUGGGAGAUUAAAAGGCAUGAAAAGCUUGUAAAACCAUACGUUUUAGAAUUAUUGGCACAGAGGUGGCAUUGACGGUCACAUUAAUGUCUUUUUCCAAGAGUGGAAACAGCUCUAUGCAACCUUGGGAGCCAAAUAAUGUAACUUUGCUCUGGCUCAUUGCGUAGAGUGUGUGAUUAUUCCAUAACGAUCGGCAACAAAGGUAGGAAUGAUUAAACCCCCAUUUAAGGCUCUUCAACACCAUUCCAGAAUUCCUAAAUAUUAAGAACACAAUAUGUAAUUCUGUGUAUGGCAACACGUGAUUAUUUCAUUUUUAUAGAAAAGUCACGUGUACUUAAUUAAAAUUAAAAAACCUGCAUUUAUAUAAAAAUGCCGCCCACCUGGUAUCUCUUAAUGCUGCUAUAGAGGUGACCUCAGUGCUUCCACCUAUAAAUAUGUUACACUAUAUGCUUUGGCAGUGUUUUUAGGAGUAUUUUAACAAACCUGCUUCUGUUCAUAUGGCAUAUGGAAACAACAUUACUUGGAGAUGCAGUGAUUUUUCCUUUAAAUAAACUUUUUAUUUUGGCUGCCAUUCUCUGAGACGAUGGCUUUAUAUACAAGAGCCCUGUACUUGGAGUCACAGUUCUUCAUUAACCACUUUUAGAUCAGUGUGAAGCUGAUGGGGAGAAUUUUUUUCUUCAUCAACUCCCUAUACCAGUCUGAUGUGUAUAACCAGCUUGGAGAGAGCAGUACACACAAUAAAAUUGGGGAAUACUUUUACCAGGGUGCUUCAGAAAGGGACGGUCAGUUCCCCAAAUAUCCAAUGUGAAAAAAAUGUACAAAAUGUCUAGGCACACUGGCUAAUUUCUUCUGGAAGACCACCUUUAUUUGGAAUCCUGAAAUAAAAAUUACCCGGUGUGCCGGGACAUUUUGUACUUUUUUCAAUCUAAAGUGUAUGGACGUCAUAUCUGUAAACCAAGCUGCAUCCAUCUUUGCCCCCCUUUUGGAUUAUAUCGUCCAUUAUGGCAGUUGAUAGGAAGGCACCAAAGAGCUGUAAUUCAAAAUACCUGCCUGAGCUGCUGCACAAUGUAAUACAAUAUGUAAUUUUGUAACUUGACAAAUCAAGGGUAUUACCAAGGGCUCAUCACGGGAGUAUCACAUUUAGAAUCUUAUUAAUAUACCUCUUGUCAUUUGUUCCUAAAUAGGAUUAAAAAACUCAGGAAAUUAUGGAAAAACACCUACCUAUUUAGGAACCAAGAGCAAGAGGUAUAUUAAUAGGGUUCUGAGAUUUUUAUCCUCUGUCCUGUUGGCUUGGCCAAACAUCAGAAAGUUACCCAAAUAAUUUCAGGUAUCCCUAGAACAAUGUUGAACAAUGUUGUCCAUUUUUUUAUUUUUUUUAUAGGCUGUAAAAUAUAACAAACACUUCAAUGUCCACUUAUCGACCAAUAAUGACUGGAUUUUUCCAUUCUAUUUUUUUAUUAGAGGCUGAAGUUUUCUAAAUGAAAAUACAAGUGUGGACCUCUAAAGGCUCACAAAAAAGAAUCUUACUUUUAUCCAUGUAGAGAAAUACAGACAAAUGAUACAUAUCGGGAUUGGACAAAAGACAAGAUAAAAAGGUGAUCGAGAAGAUAAGGUGUGCAGAGCGAGGCUUGAGUGAGGCAUUGUAUAACAAGGUAAAUUACCAAACGAUGGAAGAUCCCAAAAAGGAGUGUGCUCAUCCUGACCAAGUGAGCAGAUUCGAAAAAGGAAUUCCACCAUGUGAUAACAUAUUUGUGGACCACUGAACUGUGUCCUCUCUGAUCUUGUCUACCUUUGCUUUAUAUUGAAUCUUGAGCUUUUACAAAUGUUGUUAUUAUUAUUAUUUACAUAGCACCAGCAAAUUCCAUUAUGACCUUUAUUACUGAAUAUUUUGUGUCCUUUUUCCUUGUUUCCAUUUUUUUUUUCAUGUAGUUUUUUUUUUCAGUAGACUCCCAAAUGAGAGCAUUUGAAAUUUUGACUUAUGGAACUUGCAUUCCAUAGGGGUGUUCUAAGCAAUAUCUGGCCGAAUACCAUAUUUUAUAUCCGAGAGAGACAUUUUUUAUGUAACCAUAGAAGAUUUAUAGCCUUUACAGCAUGGAUUUUCACUGUUCCCCUUGUAUUUCGCCUAUAUCGUUUUUCGUCAUUUUGGCAGCAUUCCAAAUUAAUAUAAGGAUUCUGGAUAAUGUGACUCAUUUCUGUCUUAUAAAUUCAUGGAAGAUGACUGUGUGGGUAUAUUUUGAAAAAAAAAUAUUGGAUGAAGAUAAAAUAGAGAAGACUUUUUUUUUUUUUGCCCUCUUAGUGCUCAUUAUUCUAAUUCAGUAAUAAAUAACUUUGUCAGGGUUGGCAAGUAUCAUGUGUUGGCUAAUUCAUAAAUACCCAGAAUGACAAGAUUAGCCAUCUCUGGUUGGUGAUACUGGCUGUAGUGUACUGAUUUGAUUACUGGGUGCCCAUAUCUGUACCUUCUACUUAAAUUCAAGUGCCACAUUGCUGCUUAUGCCUUCCAGUAUCUCAAUGACAGUAUAUCCAGAAACUAGUACAUUCUGCCCAGCCAGGUAAUGCUAUCCUUCCACACCACCUAAAUAAUUGAUGGGUGUGUAGCAAAGUUCUGUUCCCCUCCUGGACAGUUACCUUAGGGGCACCAGCCCAUCUCCCUUGGUAUCGUUGAAGACUAGAUUACUAUAUCGGUGAUCUUUCUCUUUAUAUCAGUUGGCUGCUUUGAGAAGCAGCUGCCAGACAUAGAAUUUAAAACAAAGAAAAAAAAAAUCCACCAAUAUCCACUGGCCCCCUUAACAACUAAGGCAUCUCACAUCUGGGGUUUUAACCCCUAAAGCCCCUCCCCCUCCUGUCCUCCUACUCCCAGCAUUGCCUAUGGCUGGGACAGUUACACCAACAAAAAGAAGCAUCAACAUGUCUUGUGCCUCGGGCCUGGAAGCCUCUGAAGGCUGUCACAACAAACAGCUGCCUUCACCAUGACCUGCAUCAAACAACUAUCAGGGCUAUUUACUAAAGUGUGAAUUGUUGGGAAUGCAAAGUGAAUUUCCUAUUCAAGGCCAAAGUAGCUGAAAUGGAAGUAUGACUGAUUUGGAGAAUUUUUCCAUUUCAACUAUUUUGGCCUUCAAUAUGGAAUUCCCGAUAAUUGUCACUUUUUGCAAAAACCCAUAAAUUCUGUACAUUUGGGACACUGUUGUACUCGGGAGAUGUUGCUGAACACAUAUUGGGAUGUUUUUUGGCAGUAACCUUUAAAGUUCUAAGUAGAGUUGAGUGAACCCGGACUGUAAAGUUCGGGUUCGUACCGAACAUUAUGUUUUUUGGACCCUGGACCCGAACACUGACAUAUCACUGUAUGUUCGGGUUGGAGUUCGGUGUUCGGCGAUUUAAUGGCGCGUUUUGAAAGACUGCAGGGUUGCCAAUUAACAAGCGUUUGACUCGUGUGCCCUUAGAAGCCAUCAAAGCCAUGCCUACUAAUGGCAUGGCUGUGAUUGGCCAGUGCAGCAUGUGACCCAGCCUCUAUAUAUAAGCUGGAGUCGCGUAGCGCCGCACGUAAAAUUAGCUCUUAUUAGUGUAGGGACAGGAUGCUGCCGCUUUCAGGGAAAGAUUAGGAAAGAAUUCUGCAAACUAGUACAUUAGUGGGGUGCACUUCAUAUCUGAGAGUCAAAUACUGCUAUCACAUUGCAGUUUUAAAACUUAAAAUUUUUUGGUUGCUAAAAAGUACAUUAGUGGGGUGCACUUCAUAUGUGAGAGUCAAAUCAAAGCGUCAAAUAGUGCGCUUACAACGCAGUUGAAAAAAUUCUUAUUUUCUGGGUGCUAAUCUGCUAAAUAGUACAUUUUGGGCCUGCUCUUCAUAUCUGAGAGUUAAAGAGAAGCGUCAAAUAGUGCGCUUACAGCGCAGUUGUAAACAUUCUAAUUGUUUUGCUGCUAAUCUUCUAAAUAGUACAUUUUGGGCAUGCUCUUCAUAUCUGAGAGUCAAAUAGAGGCGUCAAAUACAAAUAUAACAAUAUUGUAAUUCGGGGGCAAUACUCUCACAAGUCAAACUGAGAGAUCAGUUUAUAGGGAAAACUGUUGCCUGGAUACAAUUCUAAAACAAUUUCCAUAUGUCCUUUGCAGACUUUACAUGCUGGAAAAACACAGGUGCCAACUGCUGUGGCUUUCUGCAGUGUGCAGACCGGCAAUGAGGGCAGGGUUGAGGAGUGGGUGGAAGAUGAUGUGGAGGAUGAUGAGGUCCUAGACCCCACAUGGAAUCAAGGUCAUGCGAGUGACAUGUGCAAUGUAGAAAAAACAACGAGGGAACCGGCUGAUAAUCUCUACAAAAGUAAAUAGAGAAAAUAUAGUGUAAUACAGUUUACAGUAUAGACAUUGCGCAAACUGAAAUGCACUCACUGGAUUUUGGACAAAUUGAAGCUUGUAAGGUGCCUUCCCCGAUAGUAGGGGGGGCUAGGGAAAUCCCCUGGAUAUUUUCACUCCAACACAGGACUCCGGGUGAAGUUUGAAAAAUUGGCUUUAAUUCAAUAUUAAAAUAAGUUUAAAAAAGAAUAAAAUAAAUAUAAAUAAGGUCCUACGCGUUUCGUCCCUUUAACAAAAUAGGGACUUCCUCAGGGACCACAAUAUUAAGAGACAAUUUGAUACAGUACAAUCAAAAAACAGCCUAACAAAUCCCCACCCGAAAAGUCCUUUAAAUAGGGCUAAUCCCUCAUCUAAAUUCAGUCACAUGUUAUCCUCAGACUCUCCUCAUUGGUCCUCCAUUAAUAGGGUUCAUCUGUUGCCGUUCGCGGCUCCAAGUGUUCACAGCUGAUUUCGGAAUUGUUCAAUAAUCCUCCGACAGCUGCCGGCACGGAAGUGCCAUGCGUUCCAACUGCGUUCACUAAACCGGAAGUGGCAUGCGUUCCAACCACGUUGACGGAACCGGAAGUAAUAUGCGUUCCAAACUCGUUGUUUUGCGUUCCAUUUAUAAUCUGCAAUAUCUGGCCAUAAAAUACAUGUAAAUACUUCCACUCUUCCAAUCAAAAGUCACUAUUAAUGUAUUAAUCUUAUAAUUCAUACAAGAAAUACUAUGCUAUUCACCAUAUAAAUUCAAUAACUAAACAUAAUCCACUCUAAUAUACCACAUGAAUGUGAUUUAAUAAUAUCAAUUAAUCCCAUAUUUUUAUGAAAAUGUGAUUUAUAUUCAUCAGUAAAUUUGUAAUAAAUGCCAAUAAAUUCAUCAAUGUGCUACUUUUUGUGUCAAUCAUUAUUUAUUAUCCUAAAAAAUAUUUUUUUUAUUUAUUUUUUUCCCUUUCUUUCCUCAUUCUUCCUUUCUCUCCUCUCACCUUUUAUAUAUACAUAUAUGUAAUGUAUUACUUGAUUUAAUACUGAAUAGUGAAUCUUUUUGUUUAAUACUAAAUAGUGAAUUACAAUCAUAAAAAACACACUAAAUCCACUUCAACAUUUAAACCUCCUGGUUCCAAUGUCUGUAAUUUAUGGAUCCAGUAGGUCUCACGUUGUGAUAAUUUUUUAACUCUAUCACCCCCUCUCCAAUCUGUUGUUACCCUCUCAAUACCAAUGCACUUAAAUUUUGUAAAAGAAAAUAGUGAACAAUGAUUACAGUGAACUGGGAUAGAGUGGGUGGCCAAGUUCUUUUUGAUAUUAUUGAUAUGUUCCAUAAACCGAACUUUUAAAAAUCUCUUUGUUCUGCCAACAUAUUGUUUGCCGCACGGACACUGCAGUAAAUAAACUACAUAAUCCGUGCGGCAAUGUAUCUCGGUCUUAAUGUGGAAAACCUCCCCUGUUGUAAAACUAGAGAAUUUAUCCGUACGUUCUAAAUUAACAGUGUGACAAGCUUUGCAAGAAUUACAACCCCUAAAAGAAUUAUUACCCAUUGACUUAUGACUGUCCUCAUGAUGUUUUAAGGCAUAACUGGGUGCCAAAAUAUUUUUAAAAUUUUGGUUUUUUCUAAAAAUAAGUUUAGGCCGAUCUGGUAAAACAGAAUUCAAUACAGGAUCCUGUUGGAGAAUCGACCAAUGUUUUUGUAAACUUCUCCUAAUUUUAACAUGAUUGGUACAGUAUUGAGUUCUAAAAGUAAUUGUAUUAUCCUGAUGAGAUUUAACACUAGGUUUGUCCAUAAGGUAAUUACCCCUGUCGGAUUGUAAAGCCAUACGGAUUUCCCUAUCCAAUGUAUUCUUUUUAUAGCCUCUUUCAAUCAAUUUAUCCCUAAUGUGGCCAGAUUGUGUAAUAAAGUCAUUGACUUGAGAGCAAUUCCUUCUCACCCUAGCAAAUUGGCCCUUGGCUAUUCCUCUAAGCCAAGGGCGGUGAUGGCAGAAAUAAUAAUAACGUCAUCAAUAUAUCUCCGCCAGAGCACCAGGUUCUCCCUCCAGUCAUGACCAGCCCAAAUGGUAAGAUCCUCCCAUCUCCGCAUAUAGGUAUUGGCAUAACUGGGGGCGAACCUGGUGCCCAUGGCGGUCCCCGUGAUUUGUAAAUAAAAUUUAUCAUUAAAGAAAAAAUAAUUAUGUUCUAAAAUAAAUUUAACUGAAUGUAAGAUAAACUCUUUGAUAUCCUUAGGUAAAUGUUGGCCAAUACCUAUAUGCGGAGAUGGGAGGAUCUUACCAUUUGGGCUGGUCAUGACUGGAGGGAGAACCUGGUGCUCUGGCGGAGAUAUAUUGAUGACGUUAUUAUUAUUUGGAAGGGGUCAUUUUCUACUUUUCAAUGUUUUGAAAACUAUUUAAAUCAGAAUAAAUAUAAUUUAAAAUUCACUUCUGUAUGGCAUCAGAAUGAAAUCAGUUUUUUGGAUCUGUCCUUAAUAUGUGAUAAUGAUUCCAUAAAAACAAAGUGUUUCUUCAAACCCAGUGAUGGCAAUGGAUAUGUUCAUCAGCAGAGUUGCCAUCACCGCCCUUGGCUUAGAGGAAUAGCCAAGGGCCAAUUUGCUAGGGUGAGAAGGAAUUGCUCUCAAGUCAAUGACUUUAUUACACAAUCUGGCCACAUUAGGGAUAAAUUGAUUGAAAGAGGCUAUAAAAAGAAUACAUUGGAUAGGGAAAUCCGUAUGGCUUUACAAUCCGACAGGGGUAAUUACCUUAUGGACAAACCUAGUGUUAAAUCUCAUCAGGAUAAUACAAUUACUUUUAGAACUCAAUACUGUACCAAUCAUGUUAAAAUUAGGAGAAGUUUACAAAAACAUUGGUCGAUUCUCCAACAGGAUCCUGUAUUGAAUUCUGUUUUACCAGAUCGGCCUAAACUUAUUUUUAGAAAAAAACAAAAUUUUAAAAAUAUUUUGGCACCCAGUUAUGCCUUAAAACAUCAUGAGGACAGUCAUAAGUCAAUGGGUAAUAAUUCUUUUAGGGGUUGUAAUUCUUGCAAAGCUUGUCACUGUUAAUUUAGAACGUACGGAUAAAUUCUCUAGUUUUACAACAGGGGAGGUUUUCCACAUUAAGACCGAGAUACAUUGCCGCACGGAUUAUGUAGUUUAUUUACUGCAGUGUCCGUGCGGCAAACAAUAUGUUGGCAGAACAAAGAGAUUUUUAAAAGUUCGGUUUAUGGAACAUAUCAAUAAUAUCAAAAAGAACUUGGCCACCCACUCUAUCCCAGUUCACUGUAAUCAUUGUUCACUAUUUUCUUUUACAAAAUUUAAGUGCAUUGGUAUUGAGAGGGUAACAACAGAUUGGAGAGGGGGUGAUAGAGUUAAAAAACUAUCACAACGUGAGACCUAGUGGAUCCAUAAAUUACAGACAUUGGAACCAGGAGGUUUAAAUGUUGAAGUGGAUUUAGUGUGUUUUUUAUGAUUGUAAUUCACUAUUUAGUAUUAAACAAAAAGAUUCACUAUUCAGUAUUAAAUCAAGUAAUACAUUACAUAUAUGUAUAUAUAAAAGGUGAGAGGAGAGAAAGGAAGAAUGAGGAAAGAAAGGGAAAAAUAAAAAGAAAAAAAAAAAAAAAUUUUUUUAGGAUAAUAAAUAAUGAUUGACACAAAAAGUAGCACAUUGAUGAAUUUAUUGGCAUUUAUUACAAAUUUACUGAUGAAUAUAAAUCACAUUUUCAUAAAAAUAUGGGAUUAAUUGAUAUUAUUAAAUCACAUUCAUGUGGUAUAUUAGAGUGGAUUAUGUUUAGUUAUUGAAUUUAUAUGGUGAAUAGCAUAGUAUUUCUUGUAUGAAUUAUAAGAUUAAUACAUUAAUAGUGACUUUUGAUUGGAAGAGUGGAAGUAUUUACAUGUAUUUUAUGGCCAGAUAUUGCAGAUUAUAAAUGGAACGCAAAACAACGAGUUUGGAACGCAUAUUACUUCCGGUUCCGUCAACGUGGUUGGAACGCAUGCCACUUCCGGUUUAGUGAACGCAGUUGGAACGCAUGGCACUUCCGUGCCGGCAGCUGUCGGAGGAUUAUUGAACAAUUCCGAAAUCAGCUGUGAACACUUGGAGCCGCGAUCGGCAACAGAUGAACCCUAUUAAUGGAGGACCAAUGAGGAGAGUCUGAGGAUAACAUGUGACUGAAUUUAGAUGAGGGAUUAGCCCUAUUUAAAGGACUUUUCGGGUGGGGAUUUGUUAGGCUGUUUUUUGAUUGUACUGUAUCAAAUUGUCUCUUAAUAUUGUGGUCCCUGAGGAAGUCCCUAUUUUGUUAAAGGGACGAAACGCGUAGGACCUUAUUUAUAUUUAUUUUAUUCUUUUUUAAACUUAUUUUAAUAUUGAAUUAAAGCCAAUUUUUCAAACUUCACCCGGAGUCCUGUGUUGGAGUGAAAAUAUCCAGGGGAUUUCCCUAGCCCCCCCUACUAUCGGGGAAGGCACCUUACAAGCUUCAAUUUGUCCAAAAUCCAGUGAGUGCAUUUCAAUUUGCGCAAUGUCUAUACUGUAAACUGUAUUACACUAUAUUUUCUCUAUUUACUUUUGUAGAGAUUAUCAGCCGGUUCCCUCGUUGUUUUUUCUACUUUUUGCUGUCAAGUUGAUCGCUAGCUGGGAAGCGAUCUGAGGGAGGCUGUAUUCAUCUUCGUUUGAUAAGUAUCUUUUGCAUAUAUAUUAAGGUGUAUAAGGUACAAUAUUGUUGGUUGUUUUUUAGAGUGACAUGUGCAGUUUGGAGGAAGAGGCACCAGCACAGCAUAAGAGGGAGCAGGGUGCAAAAGCGGAGCGGCUGUCCCCUAGCACUCAUCGGCAUGUAUUAUCUUUAGAAUUCCCACAGUUAUCCAAGUAACAGAUGGAGCGAUAAAAGGAACCAUAACAGAUUUAACGAGCCAUUCGCAGUAUCGCAGUCCGGUGACCGGGACCCAGACACUGUCUGGGCGGCGGUCAGACGACCGGGACCCAGUAUGCCUGAUGUUGAAGUUAGGAGUCAUAGUGUGGAAUGGAUUAGCAGGGUCUGGUGCAGGGUAACCGCACGCCCCCUGGUGUUGAGCACCAGCGUUUGUGCGGCCACAUACUAUGACCCUGAUGCAGCUUCAGUAAAAAGAGUACUGGAUACCAUAAUCCAUCACCAGACUGAUCUGCAACUUGGAACAGGAUGUGAAUUUCACUGUAUCGGCUGUGCGCGCUUUCAGUGUUCUCACCCUGCUGCUGCUCGCCUGUCUGUGCUGCAGCGUAACUUUGGCCUUCCCGCUCACCGCCUCAUAUGCGACGUGCCCACAAGGUGGAACUCCACCUUGCACAUGCUGGAGAGACUGUGCGAGCAGCAGCAGGCGAUAGUGGAGUUUCAGCUGCAGCACGCAUGGGUCAGUGGCUCUGCACCAGACUUGCCCUCCAAUUGAUCAGAGUUAAAGGAUUUCAAGUGGACUCAUUACAAUUACAGGGCCUCUAAAGAGUCCUAUAUUGUUAUUUGUCGUUACUACCUGCCUGCGUUGGGAGUGGGUCAUUUGCGCGCCUGUUGCCUUCCUUGCAUGUGGUAGCCAUUUUUCAGGGUCCCUGAAUGGAAUCUAACCCUGAUAACCCGUUAUAUGUGGUCACCAUGGUAGGCGCAGUAAAUGGCAUUGAAAGUUGAUAUGGAUUGACAUACGAAUGCAUCUUCGCCUUGUUGUUGGGGAGCACAUUGAAAAAGUGCUCUAGGGUGACGAGCUGGGUGAUCUCGUCUGGGAACUUGGCUUGAUGGGAGUUGAGCCAUUUCUGGGUGGCCCUUGUGAUGCCACGGUGUAUACCCAGAUAUAUCAGAGCUGCUGCAGAAAGUGCGGGCCGUCAGUGCGCGCUUUCAGCAUUCUCACCCUGCUGCUGCUCGCUUGUCUGUGCUGCAGUGCAACUUCGGCCUUCCCGCUCACCGCCUCAUGAAACUGUGCGAGCAGCAGCAGGCGAUAGUGGAGUUUCAGAUGCAGCACGCAGGGGUCAGUCGCUCUGCGGAACAGUUUCGUUUUUUUUUUUAUAUGUCCCAAUAUUUUGGGGGCUACCCCAAUAAAAAAAUAAAUAAAAAAUAAAUAAAUAAAUAAUAAAAAAAAUAAAUAAAUAUAUAUAUAUAUAUAUAUAUAUAUAUAUAUAUAUAUAUAUAUAUAUAUAUAUAUAUAUAUAUAUAUACAGACUUGAAAAAAGUCCCUAGUGGACUGAAACAUCGACACUAUGUAAUCAACUUUUGAAGCUUGAAUAAAUGGCACAUUUUUGGCAACAAAUGGCAAAUUUUUGGCAACAGUAUCAAGUCCUGUGAGUGCACUUCCAACAAGUUAUUUUAUAUUUUGAAGUCGGAGUGGCCCCCAGGCAAUAAACAAGACUGGGAGCAGGAGUGCGGGACCCAGCAUGAAUUAUAUAUAUAUAAAGUGUUGGCCACUUCCUCCUCUAUGUACACAAUAGCAGAGGCUUGUGAAGGCCUUUUCUCCAUGCAUCAGGAGUUGAGCAUCUCUCUAUACAUCAGGACUGCAAGAAAUGCAACGCAGACUGCAAAUGUUUCUUUUUUUUUUUAUAUAUAUAUAUGUCCCAUUAUUUUGGGGGCUACCCCAAUUUAAAUAAAAAAAAAAAAAAAUUAUAUAUAAAACCGUGUUGGCUACCACCUCCUCCUCCACCGCUGCUUCCACCUACACCGCUACGGUCACCGCCUCCUCAACCUAUGGGUCACUUCGUAUAAACUAUGUACACAAUAGCAGAGGCUUGUGAAGGCCUUUUUUCUAUGCAUCAGGAGUUGAGCUCAGUUUGAACAAUGAAAGAGAAUACCCUGCACUCCAACCGUCUCUCAAAUGGGUAAUUCUGGUGAUCCUCCUGACAGCCAUGCUUUAGAUUUUGAUUUAUGUUCUUCCAAAGCUAAAAUCAAAGAUUCCAUCUAGUCAGGGCCGGCGCCACCUGUAAGGCGACCUAGGCAGCCGCCUAGGGCGCACCUUAGCAGGGGGCGCCGGAUCCCUGCGCCCGGCGGCUCCUCAUGCUGCACCGCCUGAGCGCUUUAGCAAGCCCCAGGCGGCGCGGCAUUGCUGUGUGGAGGGCGGCCAGGUUUGUGACCGGCAGGAGGGAGGCGCAGAGCGCUCCCUCCUGCCGGUCUCUCAAUGUAGCGUGGCCGGGCGGCGCGGAACGCGGGACAGGAACCUCUGUUUCCUGUACCCGGCCGCCGGCGGAAUGACAGGAAGUGCUCACUGAGUGAGCACUUCCCUUCAGUCCGCCGGCGGCCGGGAACAGGAAACAGAGGUUCCUGUCCCGCGUUCUGCGCCGCCCGGCCACGCUACAUAGGCAGGAGGGGGUAAGGACCAUUAGGGGUGGGGGGAGUGGGGAGGGAGCAAGGACCAUUAGGGGUGGGGGGAGUGAGGGAGCAAGGACCAUUAGGGGAGUGGGGAGGGAGCAAGGACCAUUGGGGAGGGGUGAGGCGGACCGCCUACUGGGGGUGGGGGAGUGGGAGGAGCAAGGGCCAAUAGGGGUGGGGGAGGAGCAAGACCACAUUAGGGAGGGGGGAGUGGGGAGGAGCAAGGACCAUUAGGGUGGGGGAGGAGUAAGGACCGUUAGGGGUAGGGGGGAGGGAGUAAGGACCAUUAGGGAGGGGGGAGGAGGGACUAAGGACCAGGGAGGGGGGGGGAGUGGGGGAGGGAGCAAGGACCAUUAGGGGUGGGGGAGGACCAUUAGGUGGCCAAUCCAUUUAGGGGAGGGAGAUGAGGGGGAGUGGGAGGGAGCAAGGAACUACUAGGGGUGGGGGGGAGGCGACCAUUAGGGUGGGGGGGAGCAAGGACCACAGAGGAGGGGAGGGGGGGAGGGAGGGAGCAAGGACCACUAGGGGUGGGGAGCGAGCAAAGGAAUCCAUUAGGGAGGGGGGGAGGCAAGGACCAUUAGUAUUGGGGAGUGGGGAGCAAGGACCAUGGGGAGUGGGGAGUAAGGACCAAAUAGGAGCGGGGGGAGUAAGGACCACUAAGGGGGAGAAGGACCACCAAAGGGGGGUAAGGAGGGAGGACCACUAAGGAGAGGGGAGGAGGGUAAGGACCACUAAGGGGGGGGGAGAUUACCACUAAGGGGUGGGGGGAGGAGGGGAAGGUCUACUAAGGGGUUUGGGAGAGGGAGGACCACUAAGGGAAGGGAUGGAGGACCACUAAGGGAGAGAGGGGGGAGUGAGAAGACCACCAAGGGGGGACUGCAGAGGGACAGGGGGCCAAUGGAGAGCACUAAGGGACAGAAGGGGUAGAACACGGAGGGACAGGAGGGAAGGGGAAAUCAAUAAUUGACAGGAGGGGAGAGCACUAUGAAUUUUUUUUUAAAAAAUAAAGAGCUGUUCCCCUCUCAGUCCCUAUCCUACCCCACAAACCCUCUCUGUCCCUAUCCUACCCCACAAACCCUCUCUUUUACACUACACACAAACACAAUGCAUUCCCCCCCCCCUACACACACAGAAACAUACAAUGCAUUCCUACUCACACACAGACAUACCCGAAACACACAAUGCAUCCCUUACGUUCACACAAACACUCAUUCUCUUACACACAGAAACAAAAUGCAUCUCUUACACAAUCAAUGCACCCCUUACAGACACACACUGCAUUCAAUUACAUACACAGAAACACACCUUGCACCCCUUAUACACACAGAAACAUACAAUGCAUUCCUUACGCGUAAACACACACUGCAUCCCCUAUAAACACACUACAUCCCUUAUACAAAUUGGUAUCCCUAUACACUACAUUCUAUAAGAACACACACACAUUGCAUCCUCUACAAUAACACAUAAAACAUCCCUUACACACAUACACUACACUUCCUGUGAGAGAACUCAUGGGUGGGCCAUGUAGGUAUUUAUGGGUGGGCAUUGUAGGCAUACUCAUGGUCAAGCCCUGGGGGCCCAGACCUUGAGCUGUGUAAGGGGCCCUAAAAAAUGGAGCUGCUUCCUGUUCGUUAAUUGUUGUGAGCACUGUUAAAAACAGUCUCCAGAGAGCCUCUUCUACACCAGACCUGUGGAGCCAGACUGAGCCCAUCAUCAGCCUCUUGUCCUCAUCUGGUGGUAAGUAGGCAAUCCAAUAUAUUAUUAGUGGCACUAAUCUCUAAUUUACCUCACAUUAAAUUGGAUACUAUAGUCACCAGAAGCACUACAGCAUAAUGUAGUGGUUCUGGUGUCUAUAGCCUGUGCCUGUAGGCUUUUUAAUGUAAACACACUGUCUUUUCAGAUAAAAGACACUUUGUGAAGACUGGCGUUGGCCCAUAUGGGCGGGGCAUUGUGAUGUUACAUGGUGGGCAGGACAUGGGGGUGGGGGCGGCAAAUUUUUAUUUGCCUAGGGCGGCAAAAAUCCUUGCACCGGCCCUGCAUCUAGUGCUAUUUUAUGGCUCAGCUGUAUUUUUUAUUUUUAUGUUAUUUUAAGUGAUUUCCUUAUCCACAUUUGUUUGCAGGGCACUUGUCCUACUCUUAUCCCCAUUUUACUUCCUUUUGCAGCCCUCUAGCCCUUUCCAGGACUUUUUUAGAGGCAUUUUAGUGCCCAAACAUUCGGGUCCCCAUUGACUUCAAUGGGGUUCGGGCUCAAGUUCAAACCCGGACUUGUUUUUCAAAGUUCUGCCGAACCCGCCGGACCCGAACAUCCAGGUGUCCACUCAACUCUAGUUCUAAGUACAUUUAUUCUUAAAUUACUAUGUGUGUCAAAAAUAAAUAAAUCACUAAUUAUAAUUAUUUUUUUAAUUUGGCAUAGAUUGGUGGUAAAAUGGUUGCAUGAAAAGAAUCAAAAUACCUUAGGUUGUCUUCUUUUAAAAAAUAUAUACAUGUGAAGGGAUAUUCAGGGAUUCCUGACAGAUGUCAGCAUUACAAUGUAACUUGCGUUCAUUUUGAGAAAAAAAAAUGGUUUGCAAAUAGCUACUUGUACUUAUGGCCCUAUAACUUUCCAAAAAAAAAGCUAAGAACAUGUUAACAUUGGGUAUUUCUAAACUCAGGACAAAAUUUAGAAACUAUUUGCAUGGGUGAUUUUUGGCGGUUGUAGAUGCGUAACAGAUUUUAGGGGUCAAAGUUAGAAAAAGUGUUUUGUUUUUUACAAUUUUUUUUUCAUAUUUUAUUAACCCCUUAAGGACACAGCUUCAGAAGCUUGACUUACGCUUAAUGACACAAGCAAUUUUUGCAUUUUCUUGCUGUUUGCGUUCAACUGCAAUUUGCAUCUCUCUCAUUUAUUGCACCGACACAUAUUAUAUACUGUUUUUAAAGGACAGAAAGGGCUUUAAUUUGAUAUAACAUAUAUAUAUAUAAAUGCUUACUUAUUAUAAAAAAAAUACAGAAAAAUGCAAAAAAAAUGAAAAAUAUUGUUUUUUUUUACAGUUUUUGCAAUAAUAAUGUGUGCAUAAUUAGUGCAGGUUAAGGAAAGUAAUUAAAAAUAAAUUUAUUUAUUUGUUCUGAUUUACAGAAUAUAUAAUGUGUCUGGGAUUUUAAGUUUUUUUUGGUAGUUACAGGUCACAAAGCACAAGGAGUAAAAUAAACUUUUAAUGUGGAGCGAUUUUAGAAUUUGGUAUGUUUGUCUUGUAAGCUUAAUAGCCAUAAAAGAAAACAAAAUUGCCACACAAAAGUAUAUAUUUAUAUAAAGUAGACAUCACGGGCUAUUUACCUAAGGUUGUUUUGACACUUUCUACGUAGCCAUUUCACCGCCAACCUCUGCUAAAUAUUGGAGUAAAAUUGUGUUCUUUUUGGUUUUUGGCACACAAACUUAUAACAGAGAAAUUCUCGUGUAUAUUUUGUAAAGUUGGUGUGUGCUAUUCCUGUACAAAGUUUUAUUUUGUGUUCAGUUACAUCUGCUGAGUAAAAUGACACCCCCAUUGUAUGUCUUUUGCACUAUUUCGUGAAGUUACAGUGCCAUACAGGAUACCUGUCCUUUUCAGUAUUCACAGUAGAAUUUUGAGAGAUGAAUUUAAUGAGCCUUAGCUUCCAUUUGGGGUAUUAUAACAGUUUGACUGUUCAAAAAACCCCCACAAAGGCCUACCAUUUGUAAAAGUAGACACUCCAGGGUAUCUUAUAAGGUGCAUAUUGUGCCUUAACAUGCCCCAUUUUUUCACCAAUAUAUGCCAAAGUAUGUGGUAAAAAAUAAUUUUGUGCAUUUUUUACAUACGGAUUGCAUUUUUGCUGGGCGUUUUGUAUAUUUCAUAUGUGCCACUAAGUUCAAACCCCCAAAUUAUGCUCAGCUAAGUCUUCUGAGUAAAAUGACACCCCAUAUGAAUGUCUUUGGCACUAUUUCGUGAAGCUACAGUGCUAUAUAGGAGACCUGUCCUUUACAGUAUUCACAGUAGAAUUUUGAGAGAUGGAUUUAAUGAGCCUUAGCUUCCAUUUGGGGUAUUAUAACAGUUUGACUGUUCAAAAAAAAACCCACAAAGGCCUACCAUUUGUAAAAGUAGACACUCCAGGGUAUCUCAUAAGGUGCAUAUUGUGCCUUAACAUACCCCCAUUUUUUCACCAAUAUAUGCCAAAGUAUGUGGUAAAAAAAUUAUUUUGUGCAUUUUUUACAUACGGAUUGCAUUUUUGCUGGGCGCUUUGUAUAUUUCAUAUGUGCCACUAAGUUCAAACCUCCCAAAUUAUGCUCAGCUAAGUCUUUUGAGUAAAAAUACACCCCCAAUGAAUGUCUUUGUCACUAUUUUGUGAAGCUACAGUGCCAUAUAGGAGACCAAGCCAUAUCCGUUUUUACCAAACUUUGAAUUUUGACGCUGGGCCUAUGUGCAAUUUCCAAGCAUCUUCGCAGGUUUUAAAUUCAAACUACCCCACAAAGGCCUACCAUUUCUUAAAGUAGACACCCCAGGGUGUUUCAAAAGGUAUAGUUUGAACCUUAGCGUGGGAUCAUUUUUCCGCUAGCUUGUACCAGAUGUAGUGGUAAUAAGCGUUUUUUCUGCCUUUUUGACAUACAAAGUGAGUUUGCACAGUAUAUUUUGCAAACCUUAUGUGUGCUACGACUGUAUAAUACUUCAUAUGUUGCUCAGCUAUGUCGGCUGAGUACAGCAAUACCCCCGUAUGUACCUUUGCCAGGUAUGUGUGGACAUCGGAGGGGCACAUUUGGGACACAGCCAUUCCAGUUUUUUUCAAACUUUGAAUUUUAUGCUGUGCCUAUGUCCCAUUUUAGAGUAUUUUACCAGGCUAUAUAAUCCAAAUUCCCCAUAAAGCCAUACCAUUUCUUAAAGAAGACAUCCCAGGGUAUUUCAAAAGGCAUAUUUUGAACCUUAGCGUGGGAUCAUUUUUCCGCUAGCUUGUACCAAGUGUAGUGGUAAUAAGCAUUUUUUCUGCCUUUUUGACAUACAAAGUGAGUUUGCGCAGCAUAUUUUGCAAACCUUAUGUGUGCUAUGACUGUAUAAUACUUCAUAUGUUGCUCAGCUAUGUCGGCUGAGUACAGCAAUACCCCCGUAUGUACCUUUGCCAGGUAUAUGUGGAUGUUGAAGGGGCGCAUUUGAGACGCAGCCAUUCAGUUUUUUUCUAACUUUGAAGUUUUACGCUGUGUCCAUGUUCCAAUUUGGAGUAGUUUAGACGGUUGGUUAUUGAAACUUCCCCACAAACACAUACUAUUUAUUAAAGAAUACACCCUGGGGUAAUUCAAAAGGCAUAUUUUGAACCUUGGCGUGGGAUAAUUUUUUCUCUAGUUUGCUCCAGGUGUAGUGGUAAUGAGCGUUUUUAAAAUGUAUUUUUUUACUUUUUAUAACUUUUUUACUUUUAAAAACUAGUUUUUAAACUUUUGUUUUGCUUAUAAAUUUUUUUUAAACUUUCCUAAACUUUCUUAAAACUUUUUUACAGAUUUAACAUUUUUCUAAGCUUUUUUUUUACCGUUAACCCCUAACUAGCAGUACGCAGCAGUAACAGUAAAUUCCCCAUUUUCCCAUAACUCCCACCCACCCCAGCUAGCAAAAUAUAUAGUUAUAAAAUAUUUAAAUUAAUUAAAUAAAUUGAACCCCUGAGGGUUAAAAAAAUAAAUAAAAGUUAAUCCUCAGGGGUUAAAAAAAAUUAGAUCACAGUAUAAUACUGUGAUCUCUAUUUGAUCGCUGUAGGCAGUGAUCGACUGGCAGGGAAGGGGUUAAUUUUUAUUUGGACUAGGUAAAGUGUGUUUUUUUUGUUUUUUUUACUUAAAUGUUAUUAAAACAUUUUUUUAAGCUUAAUUUUUAACUUUUUAAAGUUUCUUUUAAAACUUUUUUUAACGUUAACCCCUAGUUAGCCUAACGCCAAAUCCCCCAAUUCCCCACUAACUUCCACCUACCCCAGCUAGCUAAAUAUAUAAUUAAAAAAUAAUUUAAUUAAUUAAUUUAAUUAAUUUAACCCCUGAGGGUUAAAAAAAAAAGAAUUAACCCUCAGGGGUUAAAAAAAAAAAUCAGAUCAUAGUAAAAUGUAAUCCCUGCCAAUUGAUCACUGUAGUCAGUGAUCAAUUGGCAGGGAAGGGGUUAAUUUUUUAUUAAAAUGGGUAAGGGGGGGGGACUUUAAAUAAACUUUAUUUUUUUUUUACAGCAGGGGGCAGGAUCAGCACUGAUCCGGCUCCCUGCACUUCACACAGAACCCGGAAGUGCAGGAAGCCGGUAGGUGAGUAUAGAGAGCACAUGUGCUCGCUCAGACUUGCGGUCAGAGUGAGCACAUGUGCUGGGCAGACUGACCGGGUGCUCCCGGUAUGCCUCUAAUGCAGAGGCAUACCGGGAGCACCAUUAACCCCGCGAUCGCCGCGAUAGCGGCGAUCCGGGGUUAAUUUUACCGCGUGACGGACGAGGUCCGUCACCCGUCGUUAAGGGUCUCCCCUGUGUGACGGACCUUGUCAGUCACCCGUCCUGAAGGGGUUAAAAAAACUUUUUAGUGAAUGAUAUGAUGAAAAUAAUGGUAUCUUUAGAAAGACCAUUUAAUGGUGAGAAAAACGGUAUAAUAUGUGUGGGUACAGUAAAUGAGUAAGAGGAAAAUUACAGCUAAACAAACACCGCAGAAAUGUAAAAAUAGCCAUGGGCUCAAACAGUAAGAAAAUUGAAAAGUGGUCUGGUCACUAAGGGGUUAAGCUCAUCCACAGUGUUAACCUCUACCACUUCAGCUGGAAGGCUAUUCCAUGCAUCCACUACGCUCUCAGUAAAGUAAUACUUCCUGAUAUUAUUUUUAAACCUUUGUCCCUCUAAUUUAAGACUAUGUUCUCUUGUUGUGGUAGUUUUUCUUCUUUUAAAUAUAGUCUCCUCCUUUACUGUGUUGAUUCCCUUUAUAUAUUUAAAUGUUUCUAUCAUAUCUCCCCCUGUCUCGUCUUUCCUCCCAAGCUAUACAUGUUAAGAUCCUUUAACCUCUCCUGGUAAAUUUUAUCCUGCAAUCCAUGAACCAGUUUAGUAGCCCUUCUCUGAACUCUCUCUAAAGUAUCAAUAUCCUUCUGGAGUACUGUGUACAAUACUCCAAGUGAGGUCUCACCAGUGUUCUGUACAAUGGCAUGAGCACUUCCCUCUUUCUACUGCUAAUACCUCUCCCUAUACAACCAAGCAUUCUGCUAGCAUUUCCUGCUGCUCUAUCACAUUGUCUGCCUACCUUUAAGUCAUCAGAAAUAAUCACCCCUAAAUCCCUUUCCUCAGAUGUUGAGGUUAGGACUGUAUCAAAUAUUCGGUACUCUGCCCUUGGGUAUUUACGAUCAAGAUACAUUAUCUUGCACUUAUCCUCAUUAAAUGUCAGCUGCCACAACUCUGACCAUUUUUCUAGUUUUUCACCCAUUUUAUUGCAACAUAUAGAAAAAGAAACUAUAAUGGCCAAACUGUCAUCUGUUGUCUAUGAAUUAACUGUCCAAUACAAUUUCCAGCUGGCUUCUAGCCUUCCAAGGUCCAUAAAACGAGUUCCAUUGAGUUGGGUAAUACAGCUGGACAAUACAACUGUGUAAAAAUGAUUUCUAAUUAUUAGAACUAUUAGAUCAGUGGAAUUUGGCAUGGAUGCCAGUGGCUCCUAUUCUCAACAGUACAAAAUAAAGUUUGUCUGAAUAAGUAUUUAGCAGUGUUAACAGAUAACAUCUGUGUACAUUCCUUGCUGAUCCUAUGGAGCUCAGGUUUGCCUAUGCAACUCAUGGUUUGUCUUAACAUCAAAAGGGCUCAGACUGACAGCCACUAAUGGAACUUCCUCUUUAAAGACCUGUGAUUUUCAAAAAGUCUUCCUGACCUCAUGCACAGAAAUCUAUGAGAAGCACUGGAUUAGACAAAACUAAUUUCAACUGACAUCGGAGGAACAGCUUAGAAGAAAACUGCCCAGGUGUUGGAAUAAAGAUUUUAUAAUGAAUUUUUAUUUUUCUAAAAAAAUAAAUAAAAAAAAAAGAGAUGGAGGUGUCAGGGGGAUGACUCCAGAAAUAUGACCUUAGAAGGGAUCACUUUCUGAUCGUAUAAAGAUAUUUGUUUGCUACAUUCAAAUGUUCCUAUAAAUCUAUUUAGUAUAUAUUUUGUCUUUUGGUAGUUUGGAUAUUUCAUUUUCUUGAAACUUCCAUUUAUUAUGUUUGUAUUUUUCACUCUAUGCAAAAUGUUGGGUAAAUAAUUAAGGGUAAGAGUAAGCAAGAAUUAACACAUUGUUGGUUAUAAUUUUAUUCUAUUUGAUGCUCUGUGCAUCACCAUACAACAGCCACAUAAUGCUUACCCUAAAUACUCGAGUAUAAGUCGACCCGAAUAUAAGUCGAGACCCCUAAUUUUACCCCCAAAAACUGGGAAAACGUAUUGACUAGAGUAUAAGACUAGGAUGGGAAAUGCAGCAGCUACUGGUAAAUUUCUAAAUAAAAUUAGAUCCCCCAAAAAUCAUAUUGAUUGAAUAUUUAUUCACAGUGUGUGUAUAUAAUGAAUGCAGUGUGUGUAUGUGAUGCAGAGCCUUGGUGGGGGGUGGGCAUUUUUAUUGUAAUAUAUUUUUUAUAUUAAUAUUUUUAUUUUAUUUUGUAUUAUUUACAUUUUUAUUUAUUUAUUUUCAUCCCCCUCUCCCACCCCCGCAUGAUACAUGGGCAGGGAGGAGGUCUCUCAUUCCCUGGUGGUCCAGUUGAUGGGCUGUGUAGGAGCGGGGCUGGCAGCGAACUGUAACUUACCUUUCCUGCAGCUCCUGUCAGCUCCCUUCUCCUCCGGUCCGGUCAGCUCCACUGCAAGUCUCGCGAGAGCCGCGGGGUCAGAGCGUUGCCAGGGCUUACCAUGGCAACGCUCUGCGCGGCACUCACACCGCAAGACUUGCAGUGGAGCUGACCGGACCGGAGGAGAAGGGAGCUGACAGGAGCUGCAGGAAAGGGAAGCUGCAGCUUGCUGCCAGCCCCCAACAGGACCACCAGGCUUGUAAUGAGCCCAGCGGUCCUGGUCUGUAUUAUGGCAAUAUAAAUUGCCAUAAUACAGACCUUGACUCGAGUAUUAGACGAGUGGGGGUUUUUCAGCACAAAAAACGUGCCGAAAAUCUUGUCUUAUACUCGAGUAUAUACGGUAUUCUUGUGAUUCUUUUCAAAUAGUUUUUAUUGAAAUUUUAAAGUUUUAUAACAAAAAUAAUAAAUAGCAAAGCAUUCUAUAUUGGGAGAAAGGAAACGGAAACAUGUGGAAGGAAAAAAGGGGAAACGAGGGAUCCAUCCAUAAUAACAAUGAGCAUAAUGUUGCAACUACAUUCCAUUGUGUAACAUAUAUUUGUGUUCGGGGCCAUUUCAGUAAUGGAAAUGAAAUAGAGAUUAAGUCAUCUACGUUUAAUAAGCAAAGUUAGUUGAGGUGUGCCGAUACCGACGUUUGUGCAAUAGGCCUGUAAAUAAGUGGGCAAAAGGAAUACCAAUCUUGUUUUACAAAAGAUGUUUAUUACGAAACCACAUGACAUCACACCAACAUAUUUAUGAGGACAUCUUGACAAAUGCCUUUCUUAUCUCCUGUAUCGAUUGAGGUAUAUAAACAGCAUAAGCUGACGACUUCCAGUGGCCUAAUGUUUUGAUCACAUGUACUGGAAUGUCUUGGCUUGAGGCAGUGGAUGCUGCCCCUAUCCUGAAUGAGUGCCCUGAAUAUUUGGUGACAUUCAAGCUGAGUUGUGUCAAUAAUAAACGUGUGUAUAUAUAUACCAUUAAUUCAGACGUGGUAAGGGUAGCGCUGGGAAGUGACAGGAGAGGGAGUGAGGCGUGAGCGGGUGCUGAAAGUAGGUAUGUGUCAAACUUUCACCAGGCACAAUGAAUUGUCAGUGGGGUCAGGGACGUAUUAGCCGUGAGGCAAACAAGGCAUUUGCCUUGGGGCGGCAUUUCCAGGGCAAAUGUCUGGUUAGCCUUGCGGCUAACAGUCCAGGCAAGUGGGCGGGCGUAUUCCGGCUCCCGCCACCACUCUGCGGCGCGCGAGGUAACUGAGCGGAGCACUCAGGGGAAAGUACUCCCUCGCCAGCGCCGCCUGACCGACCAGCAGCCCCACUAGACCCCAGGGAGAGGGAGAACCUCCUCCAGCAUUCCCAAAGGUAAGGAGGCUGGGGGGUUAAAUAAAAAAAAAAGUGAGUGAGUGUGUGUCUGUUAGUGAGUGUGUGUCUGUUAGUGAGUGUGUGUGUGUCUGUUAGUGAGUGUGUGUGUGUCUGUUAGUGAAUGUGUGUGUGUCUGUUAGCUAGUGUAUGCGUAUCUGUCAGUGAAUGUGUGUGUAUUUAGAAGGCGGGGGAGGGGUUGGGUGGCGCUGGUGCGGGGGCAUCUGAGUUUUGUCCUGCCUAGUGCAGCACAAAACCAGGAUACACCACUGGGUGGGGUAGUAAUGUAUAAGAACUGUUUGACCCAUCUGAAUAGUCUUAGUUGAGGGUAAGCUCAGCACAUAAUGGUCUUGUUGUUUGUAAAGCUUUGAGUUUUGAAGGCAAUUUUUACCAUCGUGUUGCCCCAUGAUAGUGAACUCAUGGUCUGAGAAAGCCAUAGAAAGCCAAGUAUAUGGCUGUUUUGAUAAUGGAGUUUGUAUGUGGUUCAAAAGGUGCUGUAUCCAGUAAGCCUGAAAUACGCUUGAACAGAUGUAUGUCGAUAGGCAUUGAUCCCAACUAAAUUGAAGUUGUACAAAUAAACUAGAACUUUGUCUAUAUGACAUUUCAUGCAUUUUGUUUUCCAAAACCAAAUUAAAAAUUUCUGUGAGUGUGGGAGAAUUAGAUGAUUUCCAGUAACGUGGUAAGCAAGAUGUAGCAGCAAUUAAAAUGUGGCCUAUGAUUUUUUUAUCUAUUUUGGAUAUUGACUCCGGGAAUCGUUUAAUGCUAUUUCUGAUGUUAGAGUACUGAUGGAUGAGUCCACUUUCAUGAUUAAUCUAUGAAUUAUUUUCCAGUAUUCAGUCAAUUUAGGGCAAAACCACCAAACAUGCGCCAUUUUACCCACACCUCCGCAGUCUCUCCAGCACCGGUCAGAGUAUCUAUCAUUCAUAUUGUGUAGCCGGGAGGUAGCAAGAUACUAGAGAUGUCGCGAACUGCUCGCCGAACUGUUCGCGAACUGUCCGCCGGCGAACAAUAGCGUGUUCGCGUUGAGCAAACAUAUACGAUUUCUGGUCCGCCCCCUAUUCGUCAUCAUUGAGUAAACUUUGACCCGGAACCUCACAGUCAGCAGACACUUCCUGGGAGGGAGGGUCUGCUGCUAAUUGGCUGGAAUGUGUCUGCUGACUGUGAGGUUCCGGGUCAAAGUUUACUCAAUGAUGACGAAUAGGGGGCGGACCGGAAAUCGUAUAUGUUCGCCCAACGCGAACACACUAUUGUUCGCCGGCGGACAGUUCGCGAACAGUUCGGCGAGCAGUUCGCGACAUCUCUACAAGAUACCAUCGAUCUAGGAUCUUAUAGUGAUUCUCAAAAUGGUUUGUGCAAUACGUAAUACCUGUAAGAGCUGUAAAAAAGUUGAACCAUUCCUCUAGACUAUAUUGCGUGCCCAGCUCCUUCUCCCAUGAUAACAUGUGUCCUAAUUUACAAGAGGGUUUCGGUGUUAUAUAAUGAAUAACAUAAAGACAGUAGCCCUUUACGUCCCGGGUCCUGUAAAAAUAAUUUUUCUAGUAUUCUUGUGAUUCUGUUGUGAAUAGCAAAACAUGCAUGCCAAGGACCAAUCCCUCCUGUGCUGCUUAGCUGUAAAACAUAGGUGGCAGAUCGCUGUAUGUAGAAUUUAAAUGGUGGCAAAUAUCUACAGGUCUUUUAACGUGCAUAUUUUGCAAUUCUCUUUUUGAUUUGACUUCUCUAACUAUUGAGUUAGCUGCUGUCACAAAGCCAACUUGGAAUUUCCUUUCUUUUAAAAAUGUCCUAUUUUACGAUUUUAGGAAGGGCUUUGGUGAUAAUUAGAAAAUACUACUGCACUGAGAUUGUAAAUUUAAAGUUGAAGGACGCCCACCUACUGUCAAGCUGGAAAUGAACGUGGGGAAAAUUAUUGAAAAUAUGGCACAUAGAAAUUUGUCGAUACAAGACACUGCAGUGACGAAGUUAUAAGAAAAAAAGUGCAUACAGAGAAUCCAUUUUAGAUGAAAACCCUUCGCUGAGACUUUGAUGGAUUCUAACAUCAUAGAAUUGCUAGAACCAUUGGCAAACUGACACAAUUUUGGGAGCCUCUAGCGAGGCUGUCGGGAGCAUUCAGUCGGUUUCCAUGCUGACUGCUCAACUUUUUGCACUUUGCCAGAAAGUUUCACUGUCGCAUUUCAGACUUCAUUUUCUUUGCUCCUAAGACCUAUUUUUUUCAUGGUACCAUGUUACUUGUUCGAAAUUUAUUAAGCAGAAACCAAGCACACUUAAACUUGGAUGGCUUCAUAGGUUGCAUUGUAACCAGGUUUUAUGAAACAAAUUGCCGUUUAUUUUUCCAGCUACUUGUCUGUGCUACUGAGUCACUGACACUGUUUUUAUUUUUAUUGACCACAUGGAAAAAUAUUACGUAAAGUCAACAAAAAACAUGCAGUGCAAGAGAAAACAUGUUGAAAAGCAAUCUAGUGAGCCCGUCUGUGUCUCUGAUUAACCAGGACAUGUAGCUAUUUUUCCUAGCACUCAAACCACAACGAAGGGAAGGCAAAAAUUAGACUUUUAGGAAAGAACCAGGGCCAGAUUAAAGGGACAGCCCGUACACUUUAGUUUGCUUAAAUUCUAUGUGGGUAGAGGGUGUCCUAUUUUUUUUUUUUUUCAUUUAACAAAAAUUUUAGAUUUUAAUAGAACCUAGUGAUACCGGAGAAACUGACGGAAGCAAAGCACAGAGAGAUGGACACAGGUUUCUUCAGGAAGGAAGAGAUUCUUUAUUGGAUCACCGAUCGGGACUCAGAGGGACUAAUGUCACCAAAAAUACAGCAAGUUCUGAGCCCUGAACAAUAGUGCAGGCUCCCUAUAUAGGCACAUAACUCCUCCCAUAUUAAGCUCCACCCGCACAUUCUCUUGACCAAUCAUUACAAAUAAGAAUUAACUUCCUGCUUGACCGCAUGGCUUGUCCAGCACAAUGGAGGAGGGGAAUACUACAUCCUGUAUUCUUGCACAUGCUCCGUACACUACUGAUCGUAUCUUGCCUCGUGCAACCAACUGAUCGAUACGUCAGCAUAUGCACGUACACAUGCCACGUGGUAAUCUCGGCCUACUAAAUUUAUUUUUACCGAGAUUCCACCACACUAGUACUUUUAUAUAAUUUACCCUGUUGCAACUUGUCACACCAGGGCUCAUGUCAGAAGGUUUACAACAUUAAUUCAUAAUUUGAAGCUGUGACUUUAACCAGCGCUGCUCUGCAAGGUGUGAUAUGUUGCACAUAAGUUGCCUCUAAGUUUAGCUUCAAAAUAAACUAACUGGCUAAUCUACCAGAUACUUGUUUCCCCUCAUAAAUGGUGUUUCUUUGGAUAGGACACUGGAAGACAAUAUUCUUCUGACUGGUAACUGGCCCAUUAAUGAUGAUCAUGCUUCCUUUUGUGCAUAUUCAGAACGGGGAAAGUGCAAAAGGAUUUAAAUAGGGCCAGGGCAACCUAAGCCGUUUGGAAGGAUAGGUGAAGUCUGCGGUACUUGGUUAUAAGUAGGAAGUGUCACAUAUCUAUGGAAUUGAUACAUUGCUUCACUACUUGUCACAUGCUGUUUCUUUAUGACGUUGUACAGAAGAAAUAAUGUAUGGGAAACUUAUCUAUGGUAUUUGUUUUUUACCUAAAAUUGUUGUGACAGCCAUUUUUAAACGCUCAGAAUACAUGUUAACCAAGGUUCAAGGAAGGAGGAAUAUGAGUGCAGUUUUUUUUCUUAUCAUUCUGAAACUGAAGGAGUUUUCACAAUGAAUGUCAGAGGAAAUAUCUCUGUCUUGGGAUAUGUGAACUUUAGCAGCAGCCUCGGGAGAUCAGGAAGCCUUUUUUUCACGUAGGAAGGAUAAACAUUGGGCUGAACGCAGGCAAUAAUUAAACAACCCACCAUCUGAAGAGAUGUUGUACAACAAGUCUGACUGUGGGGCGUGUGUGCAUUCCAAACAACAAAAAUGUGGGCACAUAGCAUGCCUCAGUAUCUUAUCUGACUGGGAAUAGUUACUAAAAAGUGUAUUACAAUAAAUUGUAAAAAAUAGCCAGUUUGGAAAAUUAUUCCAACUCAGCUGAAAGCCAGACCUUGUCUAUUUAAGCCAUAUUUAUGCACUAUAAACAUACAACUAUUUACUGAAUAAACCCUAAUAUUGCUAUUUCAGUUCUCUCUGCUGGGAACUAGUGCCCUUAGCAUAGCGCAAGCGUGUGUAAUCAUGUGCUAGUGUUAUGCUUUUUGGGGAUAGUUCCCUUGUGUCCCCAAAAACAGGACAUCAGGGAACAAACACUAUAUGGUGGAACAGGACCCUAAGAUCGGGACUGUAUCAACAAAAUCAGGACAAAUGGGAGGCCUGUCUGAUGUUUGAGCAAGUAUAAACUAUAUGAGAGAUAGGGUCAUUAUAUCAACUAGAAAUCUCUUGUCAUUAAGCCAACUGUGCAGUUUAAAUAUAAAACUUUCACCUCCUUGAGAGAGACUCAAGUGUUUUCCUCUCUUGGUCAAACUCUGGGGUCAAUGGUCUGGCUGACCUCGAUGAAGUUGGUGUUCGCUCUCCAUGGUGGGUUACUGGUCAAUUCACACCAUUUUGUUGACUACUGAACUCCACAAACACAGUAACAGUCAGUUUAUCAGUUUGAUUUUAAGCCACUGUCUAUAUAUUCCGGACUAGGUUGUGAUUCUAAAUCUUGUAGUAUUUUUUUUGUAAACACAUUUGCUAUGUUGAUGAGUCUCUACAGGCGCACCUGUAAAAAAAUAAAUAAAAUAAAAGCUGUUGAAGCAAAUCUUUUGAGAGAUGAUAGGAAAUUUGAACCCUGAUAUCUUGUUCUUUUUGUAUUCACUGUGGCCAAAAACACUAAAAUACUGUCCCAACUGACCAUUUGUGUUUUAAAAACGAAAUAAAUUUUUUACCAGACUGAUUAUUCCAAUUCCCUUCCCUCUGCGAUCAUCGGGUUCCUUACUUUCUCCAGCGUUCAUCUCAUCAAUAUGUAACUCUUAUUAUUACAUAAUGUGGGGCGGAGGACAGCAUGAGCGAUCUCCCUGGCCGGCGCUGAAGUUGGUUGUGGGCUCUAUGGCUGAUAGGGAUAUCAAAGUUCUCUGUCACUGGUCAUUGUGUCCUGAUACUGAUCUCGCUGGAAAUGAUCUGAUACAUUCCCUCGGCACCGGCUGGAAGGAGUUGCAAAACCAGCAACCUCUCCAGGAUUCUCUGGCCUAUGUCAAGCCUCAAGAGGAGAGGAGGUUGGUUGGUUUAUUUAUUUUGUAUACAGCCCCUCAGUCAAUCUCCUUUCACUAAAGCUCCUAUUUUAUUUUAUUUUUUUUACUCAAUAAAACUAUUUUAGUUUUGGCACUACAGUUACUGGUUGGUUAGGACAAUGACAGAUAGAUUGGCACUGCAGUUACUGGUUGGUUAGGACAAUGACGGAUAGAUUGGCACUGCAGUUACUGGUUGGUUAGGGCAAUGACGGAUAGAUUGGCACUGCAGUAACUGGUUGGUUAGGGCAAUGACGGAUAGAUUGGCACUGCAGAAGAUGGCUAGCUUAGUCAUAUGUAUAAUACAGUUUGAACAAACAUCUGCAUCGAUACGGUUGGCCAUCUCUGGUUUAGAUACUGAAACUGUAACAUGAAUCCUACAUGGGAUUCGGAUAAUUCCGCCUGACAACUGAAGUACUCUUAACCUUACAAACAUUAUCAUUGCAAUCUACUUCCUGACUGUGCCUUUGGCAGCCUGGAAGAUUUCCUGUAUAAAACAUAAAUAAGAAUCAAACAAACCACAUAAAAGUCUCCUCUGCAGCAGGACUAGAGAACAGUUACUUUUACUUCACUAGCUCGCCAUAGUGAGGAACUUAGAGGUAGAAUAAUAUUAUAUAGCGGUUUUGCCAAUCUCCUGAUCACAACACAGAAAUGCGUUUUUUUUUUUCAUGAAUUGUCUCGUCUUUAUUAUUUAUCGCUAACUUUUUAGUUCUUUAUUUUUCCAUUUUUGCAUUCCUUUUUGCGUAGCACGUGUGUGUGUGUGUGUGUGUGUGUGUGUGUAUAUAUGUAUGUGUGUGUGUGUAUAUAUAUAUAUAUAUAUAUAUAUAUAUAUAUAUAUAUAUAUAUAUAUAUAUAUUUUUUUUUACAUUGUGUUUUUGUAUCAGAAAUUCUAUUUUGUCUACUUAUGCCACUUUCACUUGGAAAUGAAGACUAAAUAUUUUCACAAUAUUCUUAAAGGUGAAGCCACAAAAAAUGCCCUGAUAUGUAAAGGGGAAAUUAGGUUAUUUUUGGAAAACAGUAGGUUUGAAAACACUUUAAUAAACUUGGACAGGUUCAGAUUUUUGCAUUUUAAAAUACGGGGGGAUUGGGCAUUUAAUGUUUGCCAAUCAGAUUAUUAAAUUUUUCUUCACUAUACUCUGAUGUUAUGAAAUUCAAUUUUAUUCUUCAUUGUGUAUUGAACUGAAGUCACCAGAUUGGCACUGACAAAAUAUGCAGACAUCUGAAGAUGACCAAGCCACUUCAACUGAACGAAGGGUUCAACAAACGAAAGACAGAUAACACCUGCAGACUCCAUACAUCUAACCACUGCAUUAGCUGUUGUUAUUAUGCUGCUUACUGUCUGUUUAGGCCUGACACUUAACCCAGUAAGUGCCAGUAAAGAGAAAUGGAUGAUUUUAGAAAAAAUAAAUACAUUUCAGGGUUGUAUGCUGGGUAUUGCUGUGAUUUCAGGGUUAAAUUGUACAGACUUCCUCCUCUGGAAGUUCUAUCUGUGAUCUUGAUUGUCCUUUAUUAUGUGAAUGUUUUGUAAACCUAAAGAGGGGAAAUAAGAGGAAGUGAAGCCCUUUUUUAAGGAAAGGUUUCCUUUGAUUAAUGUUUGAUUGUUAAAAAAGCCACAGGGCAAGGGAUGUUCGGCAGCAUGAGAAAACAAGCCAACAUAAAUGAUUUGAUUUGAUCAUAAGGUUGAACUUAAACUGUGUGUAGUAAAAACAAAAGUGCAAUAUUGUAAUUCUAUGUUCUAAUGCGGAACAGCAUGGGUCUGUAAACGGUCAUCAAAGCCUAGCAGAAUAUUAUAUAAUAGGCUUUCAGAUCAACUAUCUACCUAGGCUUAGCUAGGUUACAUUGGACUCCGGAGAUCUGUUUAUUCUGAACUAUAGAAUUUGUUUGAAUGACUUUACUGUCUUCACUGACAUCUUGGCUCAUAGUCCUACAAUACUUACCUCCCAUUAUUGGGGGGGUAUGCCAGUGACUCACAGCACAUAAGGGGCAGAUCUCCUAUUGUCCCUACGUGUAGCUAAAUUACUCAAAACGGCAACUGCCCCCUAUCUUCCAAGAACAAUCCAUAAGAUACGCACAACAGAUUGGAAGGAUAUCAAUAAAAGUCACUUUUUUGAUAUCUUAAAUUUAGAGGCAUCCAUAAUUUUUUAACUAUCGAUAAAUAAUAAUGAAGAUGGUGGCAUUGAGGCCCUGACUACAUGCCUCAGACUACAAGAGGAUGUGGCUCACAGCUGGACCUGCAGCGGAGCACCUGUUGGACCUUAAGGGGAGAUCUUUGGCCACAGCACCUCUUCAAGAUGAUCACCUGGAGUGGGAAGCAACCUCACCACACACCUAUUGCCACUCCCAUCCUUCAUUUCUUCAUCUCACUGUAGAGGUGCAGUCUAUUGUGGGAGAGGGAAUAGAGAUACGCUUCUCCCUUACUUUAUUAUUAUUUUGCAAAAUAUGAUUCGCUAGAAGAAAAUUCUUUUGCAUGUCCCCUUUAAGUUGAACAAAAAAAACGUAAUAAUGUUCCUUUAAGAGCAUGGUUUGCAAUAAUAUAUUUCAUUCAAAAGAUGGAAAAUCCUCCUUUCUAGCUGAGGCACAAUCUGUGCAUUUUGAUAAGGCGUGAGCUCCGUCUUGUCAUCUUGUACUCUGAGGUGCGAUAUCUGAAGGCUCUUUGAAGUGUCAUCACUUGCGAGAAAUGCUAAUCGCUAAUACCACUUCAACAUCUAUCACGUCCAGUCAGCGCAGCUGUGCUUAUAGUAUGAUAAGCACCAGUCACUCUAUAUAUUUUAAGCUGAACUACAAUGACAUGGCUCUUCUCUAGUCAUAUUUAGCAGCAGAGUUAUAAUUGUAAACGAGAAAAAAGUGUUUGUGCUAAUUUUUGGUCUGGAUGGACAACUGUAAGAAGUACAAAGGCAGCACAUACUGUUUUUAAGAUCAAGACUCCAGUUUAAUUCAGGCACUUGAAGUUGCAGAUUUGUGUAACAGAUGGAACCGCACAUCUUGGUUUUGAUAAAGUCUCUGCAAAGGCAAAUUAAAAGGGCAAAAAGUUUUUUUCUUCUUUUUAAAAAAAAAAAAAAAAAAAGACUAUCUGCUCUAUUGUGGACCUUGUUCACGCAUUGGAUUAAGAGAGCAGCUGCUAAAAUACCAUUACAUAGCAGCAAACAGAUAUUUGAAGCUGCUGGUGCCUCUGGAGUCCCACAGCCAUCAAGGUGUAGAGUCCUCCAGAGUCUUGCAACUGUGCAUAAACCUUCUAUUCGGCCACCACUAACCAAUGCUCACAAGCAGAAACGGCUACAUUGGGCAGAAAAAUACAUGAAGACUAAUUUUCAAACAGUCCUGUUCACUGAUGAGCGCCGUUCAACCCUGGAUGGUCCAGAUGGAUGGAGUAGUGGAUGGUUGGUGGACGGCCACCCUGUUCCAACAAGGCUGCGACAUCAGCAAGGCGGUGGUGGAGUCAUGUUUUGGGCCGGAAUCAUGGAAAGAGAGCUGGUCGGCCCCUUUAGGGUCCCCGAAGGUGUAAAGAUGACCUCUGCAAAGUAUGUGGAGUUUCUGACUGACCACUUUCUUCCCUGGUACAGAAGGAAGAACUAUGCUUUCCGUAAUAAAAUCAUCUUCAUGCAUGACAAUGCACCAUCUCAUGCUGCAAAGAAUACCUCUGCAUCAAUGGCUGCUACAUUUGUAUGUAUAUAUAGCUAUAGAUAUAGAUAGAGAGAGAAAAGCACAAAUAAAUAGUGUAUGUCGUAAAUAUGGAUGUUUAACAGCAAAGUAGGCAGGGCCGGCCUUAGGUGUUUAGGCGCCCUGUGCGAGCCAAUCUUGUGGCGCCCCCCUCCUCCAGUCACCUAAACAUACAUAAAGAGGAAAAACAUCUUUGUAACAAAUAAUUUGUUUUAAUUACAGAUAAUUUAAGUACAAUUGCAAGCAAGUACAAUAAUAAAUAACUGGUUAGACUGGUAACAAUAAUGUACAUUAAAUAUAGAAAUAAACUGCUAAUUGUGCAAUCUUUGUAACAAAUACUUAAUUUUUUUCAAAAAAUAAAAAGUAUUUGUUACAAAGAUUGCACAAUUAGCAGUGUAUUUCUAUAUUUAAUGUACAUUAUUGUUACCAGUCUAACCAGUUAUUUAUUAUUGUAAUAUUAUUUGCCAAUCAAAAAAAAAAGUGUUUGUUACAAAGAUUGCACAAUUAGCAAUUCAUUUCUUUAAUAUACAUUAUUGUUACCAGUCUAACCAGGUAUUUAUUAUUGUAAUAUUAUUUGCCAAUCAAAAAAAAAAAUGUGCAAACAAUUACAAUAAUAAAUAACUGGACAGACUGGUAACAACGUUAAAGGGACACUAUAGUCAUCAAAACAACUUUAGCUUAGUGAAGCAGUUUUGGUGUAUAGAUCAUGCCCCUGCAGUCUCACUGCUUAAUUCUCCACCAUUUAGGAGUUAAAUCAUGUAUAGCCCCACGUCUUGGUUUGGCCCACUCUAGACAAUUUCAGGCACACAAUCUGCAACCUCCACCCCCUUCUAAAAAGCCUUGCCCCUCUUCACCAGAAGCCCUGGCCUCCCCUUAACCACACACCUGCACCUGCAUCACCCUGGCCACCCCUUCAUCAAACCCCUACCCGUCUUCAUCAAACCCCUGCCCCUCUUCAUCAAUGCCCUACCCCUCUUCAUUAAUGCCCUGACCCCUUUCAUCAAUCUUCUGACCCACUUCAUCAAUCACCUGCUCCCUUCAUCAGACCUUGCCUCCCUUCAUCGAUCCAUCCACUGCCCCCCCUACAUGGAUCCAUCCACUGCCCCCCCUUCAUUGAUCCCCUUCCCCCUUCAUUAGACCCCGCCCAUCUUCACCAAUCCAAUGUCCACCUUCCAUCAAUUUCUGCCCCACUUCUUUCAAUCCCAUGCCACCCCUUCCAUCAACCCCCUGCACCCCUUCACCAACACCCCUGCAUCCCUUCAAUAAAAGGCAAUAUAUUUAGUAAAAAAAAAAGGAAAAAAGCAAUAAGAACAAGCACUCACUUUCAUGGCUGCUGCUCCCUGGAUCCAGCUUCCUACUCCACCGUCCGCCGCCGUCACACGCACUGAGCAGAUAAUUAAGCAUGCUCUUGCUUAAAUAUGGAAACUUAAGAUGGAUGUAGGGGAACAAACUGGUGUGGACUGUCUGACAAUGAAAUUACUUAAGGUAAAGCUGACUUUGCGCACUUUGCAAAUGCUCUUGCUGCUUCAGUCUCUCUAACACUGUGGCAUGUUCCCUUUCUUCUACACUCACUACACCUUUCCUCUGUCACAGAUUAUAUACCAGGAGCUUCUGCCUACCAGUAAGAAGGUUAAGAGAGUAGUGGACCAGUGAGUGCUAGAAAGCGUAGAGCUAGCGCAUCAUUAGACACUUUUAUGCCAAGCUCAGGGUGCUGUCUGCACAGUAUGUCCUUGGUUGGUUAUCGUGCAUGAUUGGCCGGCAGGCUGACCUUCUAAUUCUUCGUAAAGGUAUGCCCCUUUUUGGGCAUGUUUGUCCCUUUGGGCAGUUCUGUUUACAUGAUUCACGACAGUGGCCCACUCUUAUACCCCGCCCACUGAAAUCUGAAAUGGCUUUUAAUCUGGCCCUGGUCAAGGAUUAAACUUUUCAAAGGAUAACAAACUCUUUUUUGAUACAAAUGCAUCUGUCAUAGUAAAUCCUGGUUAGUGAUAAAUUCUUAACUCACUUUGAGUAAACUGAUAAAGUGAUAUAAAUAAUAUCUGCAUAACGUGUAGGGAGUACUGGUAUUUAAAAAAUAUCUUUAUGAAAAAAAAUGAUGACAGAGCCUCUUUGAAGCCAAUAAUUGUUCUUCCAUUCUACCACUUCUGCAAACAAUUAAACUAAUAGACUAUUACAGCCGUGCCUUCUCCAUUAUCGGACUGACAUUUGCCAAGUGCUUCCUGAAAGCAUUAUUACAUGACGAGGAUCAGGGAAAAGACUCUUGGUCUGCUCACUAAAUUGGAAAUUGUGAAGAAUUAAUAAGGAAUUUGCUAAUUUUUAGACUGUAAACUGCUUGAUUGGAAAAAUUAUUCUCCUUUAUAAAUUAUCUUAUUUUUAUUUUUUAUUUUUUUUUUAUUUUUUUGUGAGUAAACCUUUGUUUAAUUUUAAAAGUGCUCAAGCUGCUUUAAUUAAAAAAAAAAAAGAAAAAAAAAACUAACUUUAGUUGAGUUUUAGAAAUUCUUUUUUUUUUCCCUUUACUUGGUUAGUGCAGCAGAAGUACCUCUAGUGCCUGUCUGGAAGACUGGCAUAGGCAUGCGCAAUGGGUAUGCCGGGUGUGCCUGGGCACACCCUAAUCCCUGCGGCACGCCUAUGGAGUGAGACCGGCAGGGGAGAUCUCCGGAUCUCCCCUGUUGGCUCAUGCAGAGCCGGCGCUAUCUGAGCGCCAGCUCUGCUCUCAGCCGCCCUCCCCACAGGCAACGAGGGAGGCAGGAGAGGACCCGGGGAGCUCAACCAGCAGCUCCGAGAGUGAACUCUAGCCCAUAGGGGCUAGAGUUCACUCUCCACUGGACCACCAGGGAAAGCAGCAGGAACAAGAAUCCCCCCUACCUACAUAAGGUAAGAAGGGAGGGGGGAUAUUAAGUAAUGUACUCCCUCCUCCACCCCACAAUCACCCACACACAUACAGCACACACACCCACACAGCACACACAGCACAGACAUACAGCACACACAUAUAGCACCCACACACACACAUAGCACCCACACACACAUACAGCACCCGCACCCACACACAUACAGCACCCUCACAAACACACACACAGCACACUAACAGGACCCUAACAAACACACACACACAGCAUACAAACAGCACCCUCACACACACAUCUCACUAACAGCACCCUCACAUACAGCACCCUUACACACACAACACCCUUAAACCACCCUCAUGCUGCACACACACACACAUACAGCAGUGUAUGUGUGUGUGUGUGUGUGUGUGUAUAUAUAUAUAUAUAUAUAUAUAUAUAUAUAUAUAUAUAUAUAUAUAUAUACACACACACAUACAUAUACACGCGGCGUGUGUUUGUGCUUUAGGGUACGCCUAUGAAGACUGGUAGUCUAUUAUAUUUAAAAACAAACAAAACAACCCCACAACUUUACAAUACAUAUGUCAGUAUGUGAUUUAAUUUUUAUUUCUUUUACCUCUUAAGGAGGCAGUUUCUGAACCUAAACAAAACCUAGAAUUUGUUCUACGAGUUUGUUCUACCAUAGUUCAAGUUCUUUAAAGGGAGCAUAUAGUGCCAGGAGAACAAACCCGUUUUCCUGACACUAUAGGGUUAUUAGGUCCCCCCCUUCCUCGGAACCACCCUCCCGCUGGGCUGAAGGGGUUAAACAGGUAGAAAGAAGGGAAGGCACCUAGGUGCCUAAAAUCCCAACUAGAGUGUGUGAGCAGAACUUUCUAGGGGGUAACCCUUGUAUAUAUACAGUUAUGAUAGAAAAGAAUGUGAUCCCAGGCUGGGGUAGCAAUGGGAGCACUAGGGGGAAAGUACUGAAAUAUGCUAAAAAAAUAAUGUCAUAGAAAUAACUUUAUUGAGGGUAUCUACUCGAAAGUAUGAUCCCAAUUAGAGAAACUGUUACAAAUAAAACUUACUACACCAUAACCACUAGAAAUAUAUAAUGAUAGUAAUAUGUGGAGUGAUGGACUCAUGAGUCCAUCACUCCACAUAUUACUGUCAUUAUAUAUUUCUAGUGGUUAUGGUGUAGUAAGUUUUAUUUGUAACAGUUUCUCUAAUAUUUCAGUACUUUCCCCCUAGUGCUCCCAUUGCUACCCCAGCCUGGGAUCACAUUCUUUUCUGAAGGGGUUAAACCCCUUCCACUUACCUUAAUCCAGCGCCCGGCUCCCUCAGUGCUGGUGAUCUCUCCUUCCCCUGACCACAUUAGCUCCCGAGUGGAGCCGAAUGCGCAUUCGCGGCCAGAGGCACGUAUGCAUUCAAAUGGCCCAUAAGAAAGCAUUAGUCAGUGCUUUCCUAUGGACUCCAAUGUGAGUUCGAAGCGAUUUUCACACUGAGAAUUGCGGAAGCGGCCUCUAGUGGCUGUCAGAGGCUGACAGCCACUAGAGGCUGGAUUAACCCUGCAAUGUAAACUUAGCAGUUUCUCUGAAACUGCUAUGUAUUCAGCUGUAGUGUUAAAACUUUGGGGACCUGGCACCCAGACCACUUCAUUGAGCUGUAGUAUGAAUUCUUUUUUUAAAUGGACAGAAAGGGCUUUAUUUAAAUAUCCUAUAUACAUACCUAAAACAACAUACAAUAUGAAUGAAAUGCUAAAAAAUGGGGGAAAAGUCAUGCAUUUUUACAUUGUUUAUAAUAUUUUUUACAACAACUAAAGAAAAAUAACUAAUAAAAUAGAUUCACCUAUCAUUCCUGAUUGUUAAUUGCCUUCUAUGUCUAGGAUCUAAUUUAAAUUUUUGGUGUUUAAAGAAACGCUAUAGCAUUGGGAAUACAUUGAAAAUGUGUAUUCUAAAACCGCUCUGAAACCAUCUAAUAGAAAUAGCAGAGGAGUUGCUCUAUUUCGUUGGAAGCUCCUAAGUAACAGCCACUAGAGGCACUUAAACCCUGCAAUGAAAACAUUGCUAUUUGGCAAAACUGCAAACUUUUCAGCUGCAGGGUUAAAGCAGCGAGGAGAUGGUACCCAGACCACUUAAUUGAGCUGCCUAUAUUUUCCUUUUAGCGCUAACCCUGCCCCUUUUCCUUACACUAACUUUUAGAAAAUACCUACUCUAACCCAAACUCUACACUAUCCCCAACUCUAAAAGCACAUUAUCCCUUACCCCUAAGGAAUUCCCUCUGCUAAUAUCAGUACUGAUAUCAGCAGAUGGUUUCCUAGGAAAAGUAGUGAAGAGUGGCCUGUGACUGCCAUCUACUGGCUUUUUUUCAGCAUGACUGAAAGAUCUCCCUGUAAUGCUGAACCUCCAGCAUGAUUUCUCUGCUGCUGUACACACUGUGAUUGGUGCUUGCUUCUGGCAAAUCCCCGCACCGAUUACAAUUGGGAUGGGGCAUGCAGGGACACCAUGCCUAGGUCUGUUCAGACCAUGGGUGUCUUUCUUGGAGAAUCACAGCAGCUGCAUAUAGCUCAUUGAUCAGAUUGCCGCCACUAACUGUGGCCACAGUUAAACAAGGGAGCACUAAGUAUUGAUUGAUUUCUGAGUCUCCCUGAUGUGAGUGGGAUAUUUCAAACUGCAGGGUGAAGGUUCUGCUGCUCUCUCACUGGCUUAGAGAGAUCUAUGUUGGACAAUUAAAUAAAAACUUUUUUUUUUUUUUUUAAAUCUCUACAUUUGUUAGCCCUUUUCCAGCACAAUAAAUAGAAAAAAAAGCAUUGCUCUUUAAAGGGACACUACACACAAAUCAUUUUGGCUUGUGUAAGUUCUUUGUGUGUAGAGUGUUCUUUUUUUGUUUUGUUUUUUUACAUAAAAUGUAGAUUUCAGUAGGAAUUGGCAGUUUUAUAAAUUGCAAUUUUCAUGGAGCGCAUUGGGAAAUCUGUGAGUGGACAUCCAGAGAAAGUCUGGGCUAGGAAACAAGGGAAGGACUUGCAAAUUACACAGACAAGAGUUCUGCAGCUUUUCAUGCUGUAUUUUUAAAUACACCCUCUAUUUAACCCCUUAAGGACACAUGGCAUGUGUGACAUGUCAUGAUUCCCUUUUAUUCCAGAUGUUUGGUCCUUAAUGGGGUUAAAAAAAACCCAACUUAUUAAUUAAAUAGAUGCAUGUUUGUGUAGGUAUAUCUACUAAUAUCUAAUAAUUGGAAUGUUCCUUUAAUUUACAGCUAACUUAUGUCUACUAUGACAGGUACACUUUAAAUCUAAGCUUUUAUGUAUUUUUUAAUUCUAACAAAUAGGCAUUUUUAUUUUUUUUGUUAUUUAGUUUUGACUGUGCAGUUUGUCAAAUCCAGUCCUGUAGGUGUUUUGAAUACUACUCUAGCCAGCCAAGCAUGUUGAGAGUUAUAAUCGAGAGCAAUAUCAAAUGUUAGAACAUUCCUGUCUUUAAACAUUAUGCUUUUUACAGCUUAAUAUAGCAUGGUAUUUUUGUAUCUUUCGUUUCCCAAAUGUUUAUAUCCAGCAGGUAUUCACCAAAGCAACUUUUUUCUGUGAGGUUCUUUCCAGAAGCACUGUUUGUCAUUCAUAAUAUCAGAUCUGUUUAAUCCAUUCAUCAUAAACCCACACAUAACUGUGAAGAUUGGUUUAGUAAUGUUUAUAAAUGGAAUUAUGGUGAGUUUCCAUGGCAAUUAAACCACAUUAUUUUCUGGUCGUCUUGAUUUGGCUGAUAUUCCAUUUUCCUAGGUUAAGAAGUAAUACAGUCUUGUAAAUAUACUCUAACACUGGGAACUGUUUCUCUUGAUUGGACAUGUUUGUAGUUUGUCUAGCACAUUGCAGAGCAUACAAGAGAUGCUGAUUGGUCGAUAUUUCUGAAGACACACAGUUCUGUGUUUGCAGUGGUUACUGUAAAUUGUAUAUUUCUAUAAAAGUUUCUCUCUCUCUCUCUCUCUCUAUCUAUAUAUAUAUAUAUAUAUAUAUAUAUAUAUAUAUAUAUAUAUAUAUAUAUACCCAUAAUGUAGAUGUUAGCACCAAAUGUUAUGAGGCAGGUACCUCUUUAAUUUACAGCACACAGGCACAAUAAACUUUAGUCAUCCUCACCUUAAAGAAACAGUCCAAGCACUAUAACCACUACAACCUGCUGUAAAAAUGUAAAUCGGAAAUUGAACUGUAAUGCUGUUGGAAAGCCAAGGUCUCCUUGUAGCCUGUUCUGCCUUCGGCAACGCCACUCUCCCACACUGCCUUUGGAGCGAUAUCAUAGAGGUCAGGGUUGAGGCAAAGCUAAGGAUCUAUGUAUUUGCAGCAUUUUUUAUAAGGAAACACUGCAUAUUCAGGCUCCUUGCACCAUAACUGCUUUAAAACACUGAAAUGGUCCUAGUGUUUGUAGUCACCUUUUAAAAGAAUUAUGGUAUUAAAACGAGAAGAAAGCAUAUCUCUCUCCUAAGUCUGAAAACAAAUGGAACAUUUAUAAGCAAAGUAGUUGAGCUUUGGAAAUGUUUCUCCCUUUGAAAUGUCUCUUUGUCCAAAGAAGUUUGGAAACCACUGCUCAAAACCAUAAUAACCACAAUGUCCUUAGCUAAUCUUAGCUUUGUACCUGGCACAUGAAUGUGGACAUUUGUCUCCACUAAUUAUCAUGGCUGCUAUUUUUAUAGAGCAAAUCUUGCUGGAUAAUAAUGUUUGUUUUAUAGACCAGUGGUGGUACACUCCCUCGACUCUCCAGUUCCUUCGUGUGAUCAAAGGGACACUACAUAAGCACCAUUACCACAUAUGCUCUCUAAAUUGGUUAUGGAGCAAGGAUCUCCCUUAAACCAUAUCCUUUCCUUCUGAAAUUAGAAGUCACUUGCCCCACUCUCUGAUAUCACUGUACCCCACCAGAUGUAUAGGAGCUUGUAGAUCGAGCAUUCAUGAUGGACAAAUGCUACAGUAGGUCCUGAAACAUUCAUGGUGGAGACAUGCUACAGGUCCAGAAUCCUUUGCAAAAAAAAAAAAAUCUCAUAAUUCUCUGAGAGCCUGAAACAAAAAACAACCAAACAAAAAAAACAUGAAUGAAGUUAAUCUGCAAGUAGAAUCUGACCCAUGGAUUCUAUUAAAAACCAUAGAAAAAAGUUGCAUUGGAGGUGGUGUGCUGUAGUCGUUGCUGCCGCCCAGUAGUGAUGGGAGUGAGCGCAGGACUUUUCUUUUUGUAUUUGUAUCCAUGGCUUCUAUUAGUUUAUCAAAUGUAACCAGUAAUGUUUUUGCAGAAAUUAAACUGCUUGUUGUUGGACAGAGGUUUAUGGCACAUUUUUACAAGCGUUUCUAUUGGGCAAAGUUUAGGUAUAAUUUGUGGCUCAUAGUUUAAAGGACCACUCUAGGCACCCAGACCACUUCAGCUUAAUGAAGUGGUCUGGGUGCCAGGUCCAGCUAGGGUUAACCCAUUUUUUUAUAAACAUAGCAUUUUCAGAGAAACUGCUAUGUUUAUAAAUGGGUUAAUCCAGCCCUCAAAUCCUCUAGUGGCUGUCUCAUUGACAGCCGCAAGAGGCGCUUGCGUGAUUCUCACUGUGAAAAUCACAGUGAGAACACGCAAGCGUCCAUAGGAAAGCAUUGAUAAUGCUUUCCUAUGAGACCGGCUGAAUGCGCGCGCAUUCAGCUGAAAUGGAGGAGAGGAGGAGGAUCGGAGGCGGAGAGCUCCCAGCCCGGCGCUGGAGAAAGGUAAGUUUUAACCCUUUCCUCUCCCCUAAGCCGGGCGGGAGGGGGACCCUGAGGGUGGGGGCACCCUCAGGGCACUAUAGUGCCAGGAAAAUGAGUAUGUUUUCCUGGCACUAUAGUGGUCCUUUAAAGUCUGUUGUUCUUUUGCAAAAUGUGAAAAGGUAUAUCCUAAUCUUGAUGAUUUAAACACAUUCACAGUACGGGGUUAUUGUGCUACAACGUGUUCAUCUCUUGCAAUUAUUCCCCUUAAAUCUUUACCACUCCAAUCAUACAAGGUUAUCUAACAGAAAAUCAUCCAUUGAUAAAACUGUUUCCAACAGUAACUGAAGUACAGAACUAUGUAUUGUCCACCGUAUGUCACGACCCAUUUUCUCUCGACUUUGUAUCCACAUAAUGCAGGUCUGACCUACAUACAAAUGAUUGUUUUUUUUCCUCUGCUGUCAACAAACUAUUCUAAUCCUUAAAAUCUCUCGAGCAUUAAUUCCUUGCUCAUAUACUUAUUUAUGUGCUUUAAGCUCACACAGAAUUCUUUCAGUUCGUUAAUAGAACCCUCUUAUUGCUGUUUGAACCAGCAAAGGCUUAUUGGCCAUUUGCCCCUUUCCACUAGUUUAUGAGAGCUUGACUGGUGACAUUUUCCUCCUGCUGUGCAGAAUGCAGUGUGCACACACGCAUGGACGCGCGCACUGACAGACACAGAAACACACAGACAGACGAAGAAACCUCUCAAUGGAUACAAAUCUUGAAGCGGAGAUGUAAAUAUGGCAUCACAAUGCUAGCUUAUAAGGAAAUUCUCUAUGAUUUGGGAAUAAAAUAUAUUUAAUUGUGAUUGAGCUGAUAUGCAUACAUAUGGUUAUAUUUAGCUUAAUGAAAGUCCGAUUAAUUCCUUCAAGACGUUCGAGUGAUAAGCUUGUUUUUCAAAUAAAUGUUCUUUUAAUAAAUUAAUACAAGAAAGUUAUACAAAUUAUAUUUCGGUUAGAUUAACCCAUGUGUGGGCAAUACAGGCAGGUAUAAAAAAAAACUUUUGGUUUAUGUACUACCCAUGGGACAAUAAACUUCCACCUCCCGCCAACCUCCUCCCCCCCCCAAAAAAAAAAAGCUAUGGCAUCUUUACAGAAGUGAUGUAAUUCCUCUAGCACUGUGGUCUUAAAGGGUUUUGAGAGGACUCCAAAUUAUAAAUGAGAUUUUAACUUGGCCAUCCAUUCUUCAGUUAUUGCAUAAACUCAGCAAUCCUUUCAACUCAAUGUAAUGUUUAACAAGAUAUAUUCUAUACAGCCUCAAUCCCCCCAAGAUCACAGCAUCUCUGUUGGACACUGAGGAAGGUAGCACUGCUACAGAAGCAAAAUUAAAGUGUCCUGUGAUCGUAAAGCUGAGGAGUGUGGCUUGUCUGUUUCAGUCAUUGAAAAUCUAGAAUGAGGGGUUAAGAACCACUGAUUUAGUAAAAAACACAAGUCGCAGGACCGCGUGUGGGAAUUGGAAAACAAAAUACACCCUAGACGUUGGUAACACCUCUAUAUACAUUGUCUGCAAUGUCUAGAGAAGGAUGUAUGGAUUCUUUAAUGACACUGUGUUGGCAGCUGAGUCUUGAUUGGCUUAUUAUAAGCUUUUACUAGAUUUCCCCUCAUUUUGCCUGAAUAACAUGGAAUAAAAUAAGAUCAUGAAACGUUUAAGCCCUGAACAAAUCAGUAAGUCAGAAUUUUAUGGAUAUCUCCCAUCAGUGGUGUAUUUUAGAUUUGUGCUGCCCUAGGCACAACUAAAUUCGGACACCCCCCAAAUCUAAAUUUGCCCCCCCAAUUUGUGUCAAGGCCACUUUUUUGACUGACAGACACAGGCCCUCAUUGAAACAUGCACUGACAGACACACACUCUCAGAUACACAUACAAUGACAGACACACACACUCACAGACAUACCCAUCCUCACUGAUUUGACACACUCUGACAGACACACACUUUCACGCACUCACAGACACGCACUGACAGCUACACUCACUCACAGAGCGUGAGAGAGCAAGAAGAGCGGAGGACAGCGCUUCCUUGCCGUCUGGCUAGAAUGUUAGUAGUUUAACGCCUCGGGAAGGAAAGCCCCAGGACACGAGGCAAACAAGGCAUUUGUUUGGGAGCUUGGGGUGGCACCCUAGGCACCCCCUGAAAGUGCCGCCCUAGGCAAAUGCCUUUUUUGCCUUGUGGUAAAUACAGCCCUGUCUCCCAUGGGAUAUAGAAGCCUUAAUAAUCAUACAAUGCAUUGUAAAGCGUGAUGUUUGUCAACACUUGAGUAGUACAUGCAAAAUACGUAUACCUUCAGCCAAGGGCCUUUUGUGCAACGUGAUGUAUGGUAACUUUUAAAAACACUUUAACAACUUCUUUAUGGCAUUUAGAUCAAAUAUGCCUAUAUUGAACAGCAUAAUAUAGUGUUAAUGCAUUUAGAUCAAAUAUGCCUAUAUUAAACAGUAUAAUAUAGUGUUAAUGCAUUUAGAUCAAAUAUGCCUAUAUUAAACAGUAUAAUAUAUGUCAGUGAUUCUUGACACCUAGUGACUCCAGGUCCUGGGCAUAUUAAACCAUAUCGAACCACAGUAAAAAUAUGAGGUUGGUACAUGCCACAAAGAGCAGCAUAAUUGCCUGUAACAUAGAACAUUACAUACAGGGCUGGCGUGUCCUAUAAGCUGAUUAGGCGGCCGUCUAGGGAACUUCUUUAAGGGGGACACCGACACCAGCUAUACUGCUGGUUUUGCCCAUCUCCCUCUAUGUGGGACACAUUCUGUAUUGUGUGCUAGAGGUCCUGGCACCGGGCUCUAGGCAGCACUUACAUAGGGGCAAACUAGCACUCGGUGCCAUCAACCUCAGCAUACAAAGAGCCACUCCCCCUACAUACCUCAUAUCCCAGCAGCGCACGGGCGCAUCGCACGAUCGCUCCCGCCCCUUCACCUGUACUCGGGGUCAAGUGGGCGGGAUCAAGUGGGUGGUGGGCGGGCUCAAGUGGGUGGUGGGCGGGCUCAAGUGGGUGGUGUGUGUCAGCCUGUUUCAGUCAGUAUGUUUUUGUGUGCUUGGGUCAGUGUGUGUAUCUGGAUGGGUCUGUGUGUGUGUGUCUGCGUCUGUGUGUGCAUGUCUUCUUGGGUCUGUGUGUGUGUGUGUAUUUGUGUAUGUCAGUCUACAUAAGUCAGUGUAUGUCUGCAUGGGUCUGUUUGUGUGUGUGUCACUGAAUCAGUGAAUUUAUGUGUGCCUUGGUCGCUGAUUGUGAUUGUGUGGACCAUCAAGUGUGAGUGAAUGAGUCUGAGUCUGUGUGUGUAUGUAAACAUGGCAUUGUAGCAGAGGUGUCUCUAGUGACUGUCACUGUGACAGCUACUAAAGUCUUGUUUAACCCUUCAAGGUAAGACAAUGUUUUAUCUUGUGGGGUUUAACCUAUAGGACCACUGUGGCGCAAAUGGGUUGGCAAAUUAUUAUUUUUUGCCUAGGGCAGCAAAAAUCCUUGCACCAGGCCUGAUUACAUAUAACAUUACUUGAUCGGUACUUAUAUUCAUGAUGUGGCAAAUUAGUGUACUCAGUGGCUUAUCUUGUCAAACUCGACCAACGUUUGUGUAACAGUGUUAAUGAGGUCGAGGAUUGAAGGGUUAAAUACACUCAUAGGAAGCCAAUUACACCCAAUUGUGGUUUAACUCUAAUACUCAAAAUAAGAACAAGGCCAGUGAACUUUCUCAUCUGUGUUGUAAAAUAUAACCUCGAACUCUUUCUCUGCCAACCAAGUCAUAAUAGAACAAGCUCCCACUGUAUUCUAUAGAUCCACGCAUACCUGGCAAUCUGCAGGUUUAUCUAAAGACCAAGCUUUAAUGCAAGACACUUUCUCUAAGUGUUAGGAGGUGCUUAGCCCUACUCACAACAUGCCCAGCUUUUGGAUUUAGGGAUCUUCCUGCAAGUGAGUCACUAAAUCCCAAUAAGUCUCUGAAUGAUUAAUGUGCGUUUAAGAAGACUGCACAUUUACAAGUGAAAAUUCAGUCCUGGUAGGUGUGUAACAGAUCCGUAGACCUGUUUAAAAGCAGCAUUUUAUUGACAGUGAUUGCAUUUUAAAGCUCUGUAGAGAUUGUAGAAUAUGUAUCACAAUAUGAUAGAUACAAAUAAGGUUAAGGAAAGUAUAAAGUUUUGAAUGAUAAAUAUAACCUACAUAUUAUUGCCCUAUAUGUUGAAAUCUUUGUAAUAAUUGUAAGAAACUUUGAUAUAGGGCCAUGCAGCCUCUAAAGAUGCUAUCGUACAGAGAUCCAAUGCAUCGGAGUUUCAGGUUCACAUUUUUCUUAAAGGAACACUCUAACCACAAAAACAACUGUAGCUUUAUUAAGCAGUUUUGGUGUGUAGAUCGUGCUCCUGCAGUCUCACUGUUCAAUUCUCUGCCAUUUAGGAGUUAAAUCACUUUGUUUAUGCAGCCCUCUGUGUAAGGAGACUUUGUGAGUAUCAUCCAGGGGAGGUGUGGCUACGGCAGCAUAAACAAAGUGAUUUAGAUCAUAAGUGUUAGUGAACUCUUCUGGUGCGUAGUUUCCCUUUAAAAUCAAUUGCUUACUUUGCAGUAAGAUAUCUUUUUGUUUAUUUAUUUACGUUUUUUAACCAGGUAAUGAGCAUACCCAAACCCCAGGAAUUUAAACCAGAUGAUAAUGCAGCCCUGCGUUGUAGUGUUCCCAUUGCUGUAUCUUGCUACACAGGAACAGAAAUAAUCUAUGGCAAACAGUGUCUCCACAAGGAUUGGAGCAAGGUGUUGUAGAACAAAAGCUGGGCAUGUUGUGAAUAGGACUAAGCAGACCCUAACAUUUAAAGAGAAUGUCUUGCAUUAAAAAUUUUGACCUUUAGAUAAAACUUACAAGUUACUAGGUAUGAUGUAUACAGUACAGUGGUAGAUUAUGCUAGUAUGGUUUGUUUGGCAGAAAAUUAGUCUGUCGAUAAUGGUAGACAUACUUCUUUCAUGUUGAGUGGAAUAUAAAUGACGUUUAUGAUCUAUAUAUAAUCAAUCAUCAAAGUGCACUUGGAAUAACUAUAUUAUUUAAAGCUUGUCUCUUUGGUACUUAAGGAAUGCAGUUUAGAAGUGUCCCAAAUAAAGAUGUAGAUACUGUAUAGCUAAUUAUAUCUCUAAUUCAUCGCAAUAUUACAGCUACAGUACACUGCAGAGUGAUCAGAAUGGGGAUUGUUGUAUGAUGGUAAUCUUAAUAAACAUUAGCAAAAUAGUAAAAAGAAGUCAAAAGGUGUGUUCUGGGAGAAAAAAAGACUUAGAAUUAGAAAGAUAGAAGCUUUAUUAAAAUUGGGAAAACUUUUUUAACAGAUGGGAACAGGGCAAGUACUCUAUGAAAAGUAGGCAAGCAAUUAACCAGGAGAUGGGCAUUGAAUAAUACAACAUCUGGGCAAAAUAGAAAGGACACUGAAACAUUGUUGAAAAAUUUUUUUCCAAUGAACAGCACUACUAUAUUUUUCAGUCUAGCUUGACAUUACUAAAAGUAAGUAUUUGGGGUCAUUGUGAGCGUAAGAGGACAUCUUACGUGUUUUUGUGUCCAUUGAAAAGUGGACACAGCAGUAAAAAGUAAAUGGGAGUUGGGCAACAAAGGUGAGCACAGAAGAAUGAGGUGAAAAAAAAAUUAAAUUACCUGUCAUGUGAAGUACUAACUCCCAUUUUUAACUUGGCCUGUCCUCUAAAGUCCUCAUGCUAAUCACCAUAAUUUCCCACCAUUUCACACUCUGGACAUUUCUCUACUACACCCUCCAAGUAUAGUUUGCAAUUUCUUCUUUGCAAUUUACCCUUUGCUUAUCCAUUUAUUGUAUGCAAUAUUUUAUUUUACCUGUUACAAAUCUCUCUUUAAUUUCUUGGAGUUCUAGGACACACAGGUCAGAUACUCUCAGGACAAAACAGUGGCCCAACACGCAGAAUUAAGUCAAACACAGAAAAAUAAUAAACUAAGGAAAAACAGAUUACCGGGCUUUAGAAUGGCCAGAAUUAACAUAAAAAGAAUAGCCAGUAACAAGUCGGGGUCAGGGAUAUAGAUGGUAAACAAUAGCCAAAAGGUCAUAGAGCCAGAGAUAUGGAUAGUCAGAAAAGGCCAAGAUCGAAAACCAGAUAAACAGUAGACCGGAACAUGCUCUCGGAUAACCAAACAGAAUGGAAACCAUGACCGGGCAAAGAGAAAAUGCAUUCAGGGAUUUAAAUAUCCUAAACUUAAUUGCUAUUGGCAGGCAGGGAUCACGUGGUUCCAAAAUGUGCGUGCUGAUGACGCAGAGACGCAUGCACGUCCGUCUGACCCCUGACAUGCAAAAGACCGCGGCAUACCAGUGGCCGGCGCCAAUGGGACCCCUGCGCUCGCAGGGAAAGGAGGCUCUGUUGGAUCGGGCAGUGAUCCGCUGUGUCUUUCAUAAGUAUUUUAGCCCAGCUGAGUAACCGCAAUGAUCGGGUGCAGUCACAUGAUGUACUGCAUCGGGAGCUGUAACAGUACAUUGACCCAGUAUGGAAAGGGCUGGUGCAAAGAUUUUGUCAGAUCCUUCUGUGUUAAAACAUCCUGUCAACUCAUCAUAUCUCGGUUGUUGCAUGAAUACAAUUUAGUGCGUUAAUGGGAUCAAACAGCUUAUGUUUUUCAGAUGGAUGUGCUCUUUCAACAUCUCUGAGACCUUUCCAGACUACAAAUCUCUACAUGUUCUGCUUGGAAUCUGCACUUGUUUAACUGUCUUAUUAAGGUUACAGGUUUUACACCAGAGUGCUGCAUUCUAGUAUAUAUUAAAUUUUUCUGCAAUUCCCCCCCGUAUAUACACACAAUGGUUAAAUUGCUGAUUUCAUAUCGCCAUAUUAGGUGACUAUCACGAAUCUCCCUAAAUUGCAUUGCAUUAUUAUUAUUUUAUUAUUAUGACAGGAACAUUUUAAGAACCAAAGUCAAUUUAUCUUAAUAAUGAGCUGCCCCUGGAGCCUUGAAAAUGAAAACGGUGCUAUUUCUGAAGAGGUACACUGUUUACAUCUUGCAAUAUACACACCUGUCAGUUGCUGUCAGACAGAUGGCCGUAAAUAGGUUUAAUAAGUGAAUCCAUAUGAUGUCUGUAUGACACCAAGAGGGCUGCACUCACUUGAACAUGCAUACAUUAAUAAUGGUGCUGCUGGGGCCAAUUCAUACAACAUACAAGAUCCAGCGCACUCACUCACUAAACACCAACGUGAAAGCUUACAGAAUGUAAUAUUUUCAUAGUGGGACUCUCUGCAGUACAAUGUUAAAUUGGGCCCUGGAAUGAGGGACCUGUGGCAAGGAAUGUUGCAAAGCUGGGGAGUUGGCCUGGACUCCCAAAAAUCUUUUCAUAUGAAACUAAGAGGGCUCCACUCACCGGAACAUGCAUACAUUACAAAGGUGCUGCUGAGGCCAAUUCAUAUAAAAUUCAAAAUCCAAUCUCCAAUCAUCUUGUACUGCAAAGAGCCCCAGGAGGAAGGAUUUCCAAAGUAAGUGGAUUAAUCUCAUAAGAGCAAGCAGUAGGUUGAUAGGUUAGGACUUGCCAAAUAUGAGGUACAUUGGCGCUGUGGAAAAUAUAUGCAAUGUAUGAUCAUAUACCGUAACUAAACCAAUUAUUUUUGCAUAGGUUAGAUGUUUUAAAAACCUAAAAAUAACGCCUGUAUGUUUUAUAUAAUGUUUUUUUGUUUUUUUAUAAAACUUCUUCUAAAUAUAAUUAUUUUACUUAGAGCUGCACUGUCAUGCUGAUCUUCCCUUUCCCCAAUUGAUUCCUCUUAUCUCACUCUGUCAGGAUCUGUUCUUCUUUGUAAUUUAGGGCCCCCACCUGCCGCUCAUUGGUGAGGGCCAGGGGGGAUGACAUUAGGUCCCCCCCAUUUUCUUUCUGGGCCCCCACCUGCCUCUCAUGGAUGGGGGCAAUGGGGGAGGACAAUAGAUCCCCCCUUUAUUGUAAUUUAGGGCCCCCACCCGCCGCUCAUGGGUGGGGGCGGACAAUAGGCAGCCACUGGCUGCUCACUGUUUAGUAGAUAUGCCCUUACUCGCGGCAUAGCAAGUAGGGCCAUUCGGGAGAUUUUAAUCUCCCUUAUGCUAUGAUGGGGGUCACAUUGACCCCCAUAGAGUGAGGGAGGACAUGGGGGGCUUAGGAAGUGGUGGGGAGCACUGCUCCCUGCUGCCUCUAUUUUUACAUAUUACAAGGAGGGAGCUGUGCGCCAGUAGCUCCAUCCUUGUAAUAAACCAUAGUUUGAAAUUUCUAUCCAUUUAUUCGUCUUUCUGACAAAUGAGUGAAUAGAUGUCCAAGUGUUUAACUGGCCAUGCGCGGGAAUUUCACAGUGUGGGCAGAUGACGUGUCCCACAGGGACUUAAUCUACCUACACAAAGAUGGCGGUGGGACAAUUAGAUGUAGUGGAGUCAGGAGGGGGUGGUUAAAAAAAACAAAAAAACAAAAAACAAAACUGGAUUCGGCCAUGACAGUGACGCUUUAAAUUGUACAUGUUAAAACUAGAUUAUAAUUUCCAUUUUAUUACAGCAAGAUUCAGGCUGCAUUCUAUAGUUAAGCUGCAAAGAAAUAUCUAGUGACAGCAUUACUUUAAAAUCUCUGUGAUCACCAUCUAGUGUUGUAAGUAGGAAUUUCAACAGAGACCUUUCUCAUGCCUCUAAGGGAAUAGUGUACUGUACUAUAACUACAAUAAUGGAUCACUAGCACAUAGGCUCUAUUUAAAAGCCAAAAAAAGGCAAAGACCAUCAAGAUUGACUUUUCUAAUAUUCACAUAUGCUGAUUCAAAAGAGUCAAAAUAAAAAAUAAAAACAAUUAUACUUCGAGUAAGCACUUUCUGAUAUUAAAUUGAAUGUGGUGGUAAAUGUAGUUUUAAGUCAAGCAGACUUUUGCUAAAAAACAAUUUUCAGAUUCAAGUUUCAUGUUGCAAGUAUUUAUUCUAAAAGAUCUAGCUAUUCCAUUUAGAAUAUAGUAAAACAUUUUCAAAUUUAGAUUUGCUGCAAAUCAAAGCCAAUUUUGAAUGUAACAUUUUUUUUUUUGAUCAGCUGGGAUUGGUAUGUUUGAAGUGUAAAGUUUACUAAGCAGCCCAAAAGGAAGUGCAGGGGUGUCUGUAUGGUGGGCCUGCAGGCGAGUCUAAUCCCUUAAGGACUAAGUUUAAUUUACCCGUUUUUUACUUAAAGGAACUCUUCAGUGUUAGGAAUACAAAGAUGUGUUCCUCAGCUCCCACGGCUCCCCUCCCAGUGUUGUAAAGGGUUUAAUUACCUUUUUUACUUACCCGAUUUCAGAGACGAGCUGGGUUGUGAUCCGCCGGGAGGAAGCAAGAGACACACAAAGGGGAGAUGAGAUGCACUAAAGGGGUAAUACAUUUAAAAGAGGGGGUUAAUGAAGAUGUUAUUUUUUUGGGGGGUGCAGCAAAAUGUAUCUUUGCCUGUUUGUCUAAAAGUCAUUGCACCAUCCCUGACUCUAUGUGAACUAUCAAAGGGGUGUUAUCACAGUGAUGUUUUCUCCCUCUCCAUUAAAACCAUAUUUCAAAAAGAUUAAUGCUGUUUUUAAAAUUUACCACAAUUCAUAAAACCUAAAGAAGAAUAAAAAAAUACAAAGAUUUAAAUAAAAAUCCAAGUUACUCUAACAGUCAAUCCGAACCUGGGAUUUACUUGGCUGACUUGAUUAUCUCCCAACAUUCCUCUCUACAGCUAAAAGGAAAUGGGGGGUGGGAGGGGGUUGAAUAUUAUUGAAAUGCAUAAUAUCCAGGGUAGUUACAUUUUUAUAUUGUAUUUAUUUUAAUAAAAGCAAUGUACUGAACAUACUUAAAAGGACCACUCUAAGCACCCAGACCACUUCAGCUUAAUGAAGUGGUCUGGGUGCCAGGUCCAGCUAGGAUUAACCCUUUCUUCUAUAAACAUAGCAGUUUCAGAGAAACUGCUAUGUUUACACUAGGGUUAAUCCAGCCUCUAGUGGCUGUCUCACUGACAGCCGCUAGAGGCACUUCCGCACUUCUCACUGUGAAAAUCACAUUGACCCCCAUAGAGUGAGGGAGGACAUGGGGGUGCUUAGGGAGUGGCAGGGAACACUGCUCCCUGCUGCUUCUAUUUUUACAUAUUACAAGGAGGGAGCUGUGCGCUGGUAGCUGGAGAAAGGUAAGUGUUUAACCCCUUCAGCCACCUUGAGCCCAGCGGGAGCGGGACCCAGAGGGUGGGGGGGAACCAGAAGACCCUAUAGUGCCAGGAAAAUGAGUUUGUUUACCUGGCACUAUAGUGGUCCUUUAAAAUUUAGCAACACAGGGUUUUUUUUUUUUUAUAAUAACUGCUCUAUGAAGCAAAGAAGAUUUCUGAUGGCAAAGUCAAUUCAGCACUUUUCCAUAGGUUACAGUUGCCCUCCAGCUUGCUGUUUUUAGAAAGUUGAAAAAUGUGCAAGUUGUUAUUAUUUUGUCUGUUAUUAUUUUGAUUGUAUACUGUUAGACAGGCUUUAGCAGAUGACAAACAUAUGGUGAGCAUGUUUCAUCUUCACAUGAGGCAUUCCUCUGUGACCCACAAAUGAAUGGGGUAUUGGCUCUGUAAUUACACAUUCCAUCAUUCUUUCAUUAUUUCCAACAGUCCUCUAAGUAGAGAGAGUGCAAAAAAAUAUUGAUUUCUUGAUUUUUAUGUUUUUGUGUAUCAUUCAUAGUUCACCGAUCUAAGAAUGUAUGUAUAGAAAUACAUUUAGGGCUUAAAUAAUAUUAAUAAUUAUUUCCUAAAUAAACAUAAGACAUUUACAGUUCAUGCUUCUCCUGCUUGUUUAUGUACGGAACUUACCAUAGAUAUGUUUUUUUUUGUUUUGUUUUGUUUUUUAGGGUUGUGCCAACUAAAUGAAGCAGGCAAUAUAUUGGUGGAUCAAAUGCAUAGGCGUGCGCAGCACAUUUUAUAAGGGUGUGCCCCACUGGGUGGGCGGGCCUUGUGCGGCUUGUCAGGGAUGUUCCAUGCAUCACUAUUGAUGCCGAGAAGAGGUGGGUCCACCUGAAAAGGAGGCAGACUCACUGACCGAAGGGAUAUGGCAUAGAUGCACAACAUAAAACAAGACAAGACAAGGAAAGGUUGUGACAAAGAUAAAAAAUAUAUAUACAGAUAAUAUCAAUAGUAGAGAUGGUCCUAGUAAGAAAUCCUCUUGUAUAGGUGACUAUAAGUUACAUUUACAUAAGUUAUAAGGGUUAUAAGUAGAAAUAAUGGUAGUACACUCACAUUUAUGCGAGCUAUAGCCAGCUCUAGCGUAAUAGGUGUACAGCGGUAUAAUCUCCACUUAUAGGAUAUGCAGCAAGUGUCCACCUCAGGAGCCAAAACUAUCCAAAACUAAGGAAAGGGAUAGAAAGACAACUAAUAGUGCUCUCGAUAUAAAAAUAUCAAUAUUAUAGAUAAAAUGAAUAAAAAUGUACUUACAAGGAUAGCGCAGGCUAACUUCUCUAUGGUAUCAGCAUUAGUAUGAUCCCCCACCUAGGAUGGCUUGGAGUACAGGAAAAGUAAAAUGCCAAGAUGUAAAAUCAGUGUAAAAGAAAAGAGAUAAUUGGUAGAGGGUAGUGACCAAAAACCUUUAAUACACAAUAUAAAAUAUCCAAACACGUUUCGCAUAGGGCUUCUUCAAGUGGAUAGAGUAGUAUAUAACCUGGCAGUUGGAGUUUAUAUAGGGCUAAAAUGGAUAAAAUUGCUGCCAAAAUUAGGUUUGCCAAUUAAAAAUUAACAUCUACAUAGUUGACAUAAAAGAAGAAAGAAAGACAUAUUUUUAAAUUUACUACUUAAAUUAAAUGCUAUUUGUAAUAAAACGUGAAAAACUAAGGGUUUAGAGGCUAGUAUAAGUAAAGUCACGUAACAGCAUCGGUAAUAUAUUAGACGGCGGCCAUACUUGGAAUGGCGGCUGGCGUUUCACUAAUGGGAUGGAUAGCCGUAACGGGGAAGGGCGUGCGUUAACACAUAUAUUGUGAUGGCCAGUGGCCAUGAUGGGAAUGGCGGCAGUCCGUCCUAUAAUAGGAUGGCUGGCCGUAAUGGGAAUGGGCGACAUGUAGCUAUUAAGUAUAUAUUAAAGGGGAUGAUAGGCAUAUACAUAAAUACAAUAUGUAAUGGUAUCCAAAAAUUUACUAUUCCUUGGAGAGGGGGUAAUAUUAAAAAUAUCCUAGGUAAAAGUGAAAUGGAAUGGGUAUUCAAUCUACAGACACUCACACCCCAUGGCCUCAAUGCAAAAUUUGAUUUAUUUAAUUUUAUAUAAUGACAUUAUACCUUUUACUGUGUACCCUCCCUCCUACUUUCUUGUUUUAUUUCCAUACAUUUUUGGUAUUUCCCACCAUUUUAAUAUAUACAUUAUUGCAACAUUUUUCUGUAUAUUAUGUAUCCACAUAUUGUAAUUAUGUAUAAAUGAAUGAAAUUUAACAUAGAGAAAUGCAAAGUUAUGCACUUCGGGGUCAAGAAUGCACAAGCAACUUACACCCUAAAUGGUAAUGAAUUAGGGAUAACCACACACGAGAAGGAUUUGGGAAUUGUUAUAGACAACAAAUUAGGCAGCAAUAUGCAAUUUCAAUCUGCAGUUUCUAAGUCCAGUAAGGUUUCGUCAUGUAUAAAUAGGGGCAUAAAUUCUUGGGAUGAAAAUAUAAUUUUGCCUCUUUAUAAAUCGCUGGUAAGAUCACACCUUGAAUAUGCUGUGCAAUUUUGGGCACAUGUUCUAAAGAAAGAUAUCAUGGCACUAGAAAAAAUGCAAAGACCAGCUACAAAAUUGAUCAAAGGAAUGGAGCAUUUAAUAACGAAGAAAGGUUAAAAAAUUUAAAUCUCUGUAGUUUGGAAAAACAGCACCUCAGAAGGGAUAUGAUAAUAUUAUACAAAUAUAUUCGGGGCCAGUACAAACCAUUAUCUAGAAAAAUCUAUUCAUAAUCAGGGCUAUACAUAGGACACAAAGUCACACAUUUAGGCUGGAAGAAAGGAGAUUUCAUCUAAGGCAAAGAAAAGGUUUUUUUUUUUUACAGUAAGAGCAAUAAGGAUAUGGAAUUCUCUGCCUGAAGAGGUAGUUUUAUCAGAGUCCAUACAGAUGUUUAAACUGAAAUUAAAUACUUGCAAAAACAUAACAUACAGGGAUAUAAUUUUUAAUUAGUGGGGUAAUAGCUGCUUGAUCCAAGGAGACAUCUGACUGCUAUUUUGGGGUCAAUAAGGAUUUUUUCCUAGUUUGUUGCAAAAUUGGAAGCGCUACAGACUGGGUUUUUUGCCUUCUUUUAGAUUAACAGCAAAAACGUAUGUGAGGAAGGCUGAACUUGAUGGACACAAGUCUCUUUUUAGCUAUUUAACUAUGUAUAUGUACUUAUGUAUAUGAGUAUCAUCAUGGAAUUUUUUUUUUCUUUUACAAGAAAUAAAGAUACACUGUUUGGCUACCACUGCUGUGGAUUCUUCAAAAAUAAGAUUAUCUAUACACGUUGUCUCAGUCGCUCUCAACAUAAUAUAUUUAUAAACGCUGUGCCUUUACACCGCAUUGUGACUUUUAUUGCUAUUUUAAUAUUAAACUGUUGUAAUAUUGAUAUUGGCAUUACUUUCAACACAUUUUUUUUUUUUUGGCCUAUAAAUUGUGUGAUCCAGAAUAUUGUUAUUAAACUGAUCUCCCUAAAUAAAAACACAAAACAAAAAACACACAAAAACAAAAUCGAACAAAACCUUGAUCUUGUCUUCUGAUAAUGCAUAUAGAAAAGGCCUUUUGCAUUAGUGUGCUGAUGUAAUCAACUAAGGCUUUUGGAUAAUUCAUAAUGAUGCCUUGAAAAAGAUUGCUCAGAGCAGAGCGGUAGAUAAAAGCUUCUGUCAAAUAACAUGUAGAUGUUAUUCGCAUAUUAACCCUUUAAGGCCUAAAAUGAGUGUGAAAUGGUUAUGAAGGAAAAUAUUUUUCAAAUGUAAAUUAUUAGAAGGUGAGAAAAACCAACAAACCUUUUGUAUAUCAUAAUAAAGAAAUAUUAAUAUUUGAAUAAAAAAAAUAGCUUGCUCACUGUAUUUACUAACAGGACAAUGUCUCUUUCUCCGCAGAGUGAAGCCAUGUGUACAAGUCCAAAAAACAAGCGGAGUGAAGGUCAGUGACAAUGUGGCUUGUAUGGUGUUUUUGUGUUUAAAAAAAUAAAAAAUAAAUAAUAAUCCACCUUACCCUUCCACCAAUUUAUUUUUCCUUAGGAUUAACCAGUAACACCUUUUCAUAAUUUGACACUUUUAGUUUCCUAAUUAUUGCCUAUACUUGACUCCACUCAUUCCAUGGUUGAACAUAUAACCAGCUCUAUGCCCUUUCUGGUUCUUAUCUGGUUACGUCAACUUUCAUGUGAAAAUGUGAGGUGUGCAAAGGUUAAUCCCUGUCCAGUAGAAAAAUAAUUGCAGUCUUGAACACCAAUCUUUAUGUACUCGUUUUUACAUGUUAUCGAUCCUUAUAUUGAUGGUUUGUUCUGUAGCUUGCUUUUAGUGCAUUGAAUGUUGGUUCAUGUAUGGUAUAGAUGUCCCCGGACUAUCCUACUUUGGUAAAAUGUUCACGCUUCAUGUAAAGAUGAAUUGGUUUCUCUUUAUAUCCGCAACAAUGUUCUUGUUCACUCAGUGGUACUCCAGAUACAUUUGUACUACCAUACAUCCUACAGUACACAGAUAAUAGCCCUCACCUACAUCUAUGUAACAUGGAUAACUGAAAGAGAAGCACUCAUCUCCAUCAAAGAACUGAUUUUAGAACUGAUCUUGAAAAACAAAAAAAAACACACUUCUAUUGGAUAAGCUUCCAUGGAAUUCACUGCCUCUGACCUGAGCCCUUUAACUUUUAUAAUUAUUUUUAAAUCACUUUAAUCACUCUAAUUUCCCUCUUGGUUAAUUAACCUCCUUGCUGCUUCCAUUUAAAGGAACAUGUUUGUGUUAGUGUUAGAAAUAUAUCUUCGCAUUCCUAACGUGUUGCUCUGCUCGCCUGACCUCCCCCCCGGCUACGUAAAGGGUUACAUAACCCUUUAUUCACUUACCAGACUCCAGCGCCGAUUUCCUCAGUACGGAGUCGUGCUUUGCCUCCUCAGAUGUCAGCCGAUGGGGGGACAAGUGCUGCACACUCAUUAGGCCUUCUCCAUAAGAAAGCAUUGACUCAGUACUUUCCCAUGGGGUUUUCAUUGACACUGGAUGUCCUCCUGCAGAGUGUGUGGAUGUCCAACGUCGUUGUGUGUGUUUGUUUGUUUGCCACCCCCUUCUAUCUCUCCUUAGAGGUGCUGUGGAGGCUUCCCUUGUAGUCCAGUGGGGGGAGUAUUGUGAGCUGCAAUAAUAUUGGGUGCAAACCACUUUAAGAGCUCCCUCACGGUUCCUCUGGCCUGCACCUGGCUCAGGACCAAGGUCUAAAAGACAUCCCUGCUAGCUCAAGGACAGCCAACGCUCCAGGCCGAGAAACUGGUCCACCAGUCAGUGUGUGAACCCAGGCCCAAGUGGGCUGCCUAGGCAGCCUAAAGGGUAUCCGGCUCUGGCACAAACGUAUUCCUGAUACUAUAGUGUUAAAAACACCAUCUAGCUCCCCUGCCCCCCCCUUGUCCCUCUAAAUAUAGUAAAAUCUUUACUUUAUUCCAGUCUGCUGCUACUGGCUCUGCCCCUGAACUGCCUACUUAGCUGACAUCAGAAGUGGUGAUCUCAGCCAAAUAAUGCUUUCCCGUAGGAAAGCACUGGAUUGGCUGAGCUUGUCAAGAAGGCAUAUCAGGGGCAGAGCCAGCACAAGCCAAAUACAGCCCUGGACAAUUAUUAUUAUUAUUAUUAUUAUUAUUUUAAAGCACCAACAAAUUCCGCAGCGCUUUAUAAUGGGUGGACUAACAGACAUGUAUUUGUAACCAGACAAGAUGGACACACAGGAACAGAGAAACAUAGAAUGUGACGGCAGACAAGAACCAUUCGGCCCAUCUAGUCUGCCCAAUAUUUAGAAAUACUUUUAAUUAGUCCCUGGCCUUAUUUUAAGUCUAGAAUAGCCUUAUGCUUAAACUGUGUUAACCUCUACAACUUCAGCUGGAAGACUAUUCCAUGAAGAGGGAUCGAAGGCCCUGUUAAAUGAGCUUACAUGCUAGAGGGAAUGCAUCUCUAUGAGGAAAGUUUAGUGUCUCCAUCCUCUGCAUGGAGACACUGAAUGUUAGUGCUGCACAAUGUACAGCACUGCCCCAGGAAGCACCUCUAGCAGCCAACUGAGGAGUGGUCAGUGGAGGUGUCCUAGGCUGUAAUGUAAACCCUGCAUUUUCUCUGAAAAGACAGUGUUUACUGUAUUAAUCCUGAAGGGAAUGACUAUACCACCACCAGAACAAAUACAAAAAGCUGUAGUUGUUCUGGUGACUAUGGUGCCCCUUUAAAUUAAGAAAUCAUAAUCUUUAACCAACUGAACAUCUAUUAUUUUCCAAGCCUACCAGCAGCAUGGUACUAUUUGCUCUGUACUGGUUCAAAUACUUACACAGAGAACAUUCACCACAUUAGACUUCUAUUGACAAAGUGCCUCAAUUGCACAGGUGACUAAACUCCCUCCCCCACUAAAAAUUAAUAAAUUAUGAAAUUGAAUCAUUCAGGGUCAUAACUAAGAACCACAGGAUCCUAGUGCAAGAAUAAAAGAGGCCCACUCAAUACCUGUCUUGCCCAUCGAUAAGCAAUACACCAGUGUGGGAUUUGUGUGCUGUCUGAGUGUGACUGUGCAGAGGUUUGGCUGAAUGUAAUUCUGUGUGGAAUUACAGAGCAACACUGACAGAGCACACCGUUCUAACACGAGAAUGCACCAUUACAUCACAUAGCAACAAUUGCAGAGCACAGCAUUCUAAAAAGAGAAUGUGCCAUUACAUCACAGAGCAACACUGACAGAGCACAGCAUUCUAACAUGAGAAUGCACCAUUACAUCACAGAGCAACAAUCACAGAGCACAGCAUUCUAACAAGAGAAUGUGUCAUUACAUCACAGAGCAGCAAUGGCAAAGCAUAGCAUUCUAACAAGAGAAUGUGUCAUUACAUUACAGAGCAACAAUGGCAAAGCACAGCAUUCUAACAAGAGAAUGUGCCAUUACAUCACAGAGCACAGCAUUCUAACAAGAAAAUGCGCCAUUACAUCAUAGAGCAACACUGAGAGAGCACAGCAUUCUAACAAGAGAAUGUGUGUCAUUACAUCACAGAGCAACAAUGGCAGAGCAUUCUAACAAGAGAACGUGCCAUUACACCACAGAGCAACAAUGGCAGAGCAUUCUAACAAGAAAAUGUGCCAUUACAUCACAAAGCAAAACAGACAAGGCACUGCAUUCUAACAAGAGAAUGUGCCAUUACAUCACAGAGCAACAAUGGCAGAGCAUUCUAACAAGAGAACGUGCCAUUACACCUCAGAGCAACAAUGGCAGAGCAUUCUAAGAAGAAAAUGUGCCAUUACAUCACAAAGCAAAACAGACAAGGCACUGCAUUCUAACAAGAGAAUGUGCCAUUACAUCACAGAGCAACAAUGGCAGAGCAUUCUAACAAGAGAAUGUCUCAUUACAUCACAGAGCAACAAUGGCAAAGCACUGCAUUCUAACAAGAUAAUUUGCCUUCCAGAAUGUCAUUGAGAAAGCACAGUAUGUUACCAGAAGUCUGUGCCUUAUAGUCUAAUGUUGGGAAAGCACAGCAUUCUACUAGGAGUGUACACUCACCCCAAUGCACUUGCAUCAACAGAGUACAAUAUAUUAUUUACCAAGGACAAAUACAUAGUUUGUCCUAAAUUUACCCAGUAGAAAUAACUGUAUUCUGCUUGUAGAUUGCGUGGUUAGCAGGGCUACAGAAGUAUUCACCUCUGCAGACCUCUUAUUAAAAUAUAUUUUGUGUACCCCUAUUCAGAACAUAAUUGUAUUGCUGCAAUUUUAACAGGACAUAACUUUUUAUAUUCCAUUGGAUUCAUAAAUCGUAGAUAAUGUAAAACAAAUGAUGUAAAUAGUUGCAUUUGCUUCUGGUUAGAAAACAAAAACUUUUUAUAUCAAUGUGGCACUGUUUGUUUUUAUUUUAACUUAUUUUUUGUUUUUUUCUGUUGUUGUUUUCGACUCAUAACCUCUGAAAUGUGUUGUGGUUCCAGACUAGACAAAAAAAGUUAAAGGAUUUUGGAAACUGUGUGCGUAAUUAAAAUUUCGGAAAUGCUAGUUUUUGGUUAACCAUGUUUUUUAGUUUUCGUUUUUCUGUAAACGUGCAUUUUGGGUUUCCAGCAUGUAGGGUCGAUGUAACGUAGGUUAACUACUUAAUUGAGAAUUUAUUGUGAAUUUCAGGUCAAAGUAGCUCAACUGGAAGCAUAUUUAACUAAGUAAAUUUUUCCAGUUCAGCUAUUGUAUCCUUCAAUCGCACAUUCACUUUGAAUUUUCACAUUAGUAAAUAACUGUGAUAAUGUUACAUUUCAGAAAUGUUUUACAUUCUUGGUCAUUAAUAUAAUCCCACUUAAAAAUGCAGCAAUAGUUGCCUUUUGAAAUGGUACUUCCUGCUUUACGUGAAGUUUUUAAAAGCUAAACAAGAAUACAUUACCACACUUUAAUUUUAGCUUCUAAAUUAGUAAAGUGGAACUUGAAUUACUCUGUGCAGCAGCUAAACAUUUUCUAAAUUGAAUAAAUUGGGGAGUAGAGGCAAUAUUGUUAAAUUAAAUUUAAAUUUGAUUGACUUAUUGGCAGGGCUGUAAACAUAACCAAAAAAUAGCAAGUUUACCUGCUCUGACCAAGUUAUAAGUAAAGUAAAAAGGAGAGCAUUCACAUGUCUUGCUUUAAACUGUCUACUAGACUGUUCUAGUUUUUUUAUCCUGUAUAUCUUUGUUUUGCUUUGUUUAAGCAGAUUAAAUGAUCAUAAGGAAGAUAAAUAUUUAAGUCCUUAACCAAGGCUUUUAUUAAGAUCUUGAUAAAAGUAUGGGUUGGUGACUGAGAAGUUUAUCAUCCUUAUGAGGUUUAAAAAAAAAAAAAAAAAAAGCAGAACUCUCUUUGAAGCAUGAUCUGUGAGUGCUAUGUUAUUUUUUUUUUUUUAAAUGAUUUAAAAUCUAUAUUUAUACACCUUUUUUAAAUGUAUUGUUGUGAUACAGAGAUUUUGUCUUUGUAUUUGGAGUUUAGAUUGUGUGUGUAUCUAUGUAUGUAUGUGUUUAUUUUUAUAUAUAUAUAUAUAUAUAUAUAUAAUGUGUGUUAGGGACACAUAGCCAUGUAAGGACUAGGUAUACGCAUAGGAUAGUAUAGAAGAGCAAGUCGGUUGUGGUGUGCCGGAACCGACGAUGCGGUAGGCCUGUAAAUAAAGAGGACCCACCAAGGAGAAAAGUUAAAGAGAGAAAGAAAGGAAGAUGAAAAUGUUGAGUAUUUGGAGUGGUGGGAGGGUCAUUCAAAAUGCUGACCUCAGAUGUAUGGAGUAAGGUAAGGGGUCUCCCUUAAGUAGGUAAGUAAAAUAAUAAGCCCCUCCCACAAUUACAGGCCAAACUACCUUUAUUUAUAUAUAUAUAUAUAUAUAUAUAUAUAUAUAUAUACAGUAUCUCACAAAAGUGAAUACACCCCUCAAAUUUUUGUAAAUAUUUUAUAUCUUUUCAUGUGACAACACUGAAGAAAUGACACUCUGCUACAAUGUAAAGUAGUAAGUGUACAGCCUGUAUAACAGUGUAAACUUGCUGUCCCCUCAAAGUAACUCAACACAAAGCCAUUAAUGCCUAACCGUUGGCAACAAAAAUGAGUACACCCCUAAGUGUAAAUGUCCAAAUUGAGCCCAAUUAGCCAUUUUUCCUUCCCGGUGUCAUGUGACUCAUUAGUGUUACAAGGUCUCAGGUGUGAAUGGGGAGCAGGUGUGUUAAAUUUGGUGUUAUCGCUUUCACACUCUCUCAUACUGGUCACUGGUAGUUUAACAUGGCACCUCAUGGCAAAUAACUCUCUGAGGAUCUGAAAAAAAAUAUUGUUGUGCUAAAUAAAGAUGGUCUAGGCUAUAAGAAGAUUGCCAAGACCCUGAAACUGAACUGAAGCACAGAGGGCAAGACCAAACAGCUGUUUCACAGGACAGGUUCCACUCAGAACAGGCCUCGCCAUGGUCAACCAAAGAAGUUGAGUGCACAUACUCAGCCUCAUAUCCAGAGUUUUUUUGGGGGAAAUAGGCAUAUUAGUGCUGCCAGCAUUGCUAAAGAGUUUGAAGAGGUGGGGGGGUCAACCUGUCCAGUGCUUAGACCAUACGCCGCACACUGCAUCUGAUUGGUCUGCAUGGCUGUCAUCCCAGAAGGUAGCCUCUUCUAAAGACGAUGCACAAGAAAGCCUGCAAACAGUUUGCUGAAGACAAGCAGACUAAGGACAUGGAUUACUGGCAGUGGCGUACAUACCAGGGUAGCAGGGGUCGCGGCUGCGACCGGGCCCGGCCGCCCCUGCGACCCAGUAUGUAGCCACAGGGCCAGCCUCUUCUCCUGGGGGGCCCAGGAGCCGACCACCCCAGGGCCCCCCGAGGCUGGCCCUGCUGUCCCCGGCGGGUGGGCGGCCGGUGCGCGAGGGAGCACUUUACACUCAGUGCUUCUUCUUCAGCUCCCUCGCGCACCGCACUGAUGCCGCGGCCCCGACCCGCGCCGAGUAAGCGUGGGGGGGGGGGCCCUGGAUCAAUUUUCGCACAUGGGUCAUGUGUACGUCACUGAUUACUGGAACCAUGUCCUGUGGUCUGAUGAGACCAAGAUAAACUUAUUUGGUUCAGAUGGUGUCAAGCGUGUGUGGCGGCAACUAGGUGAGGAGUGCAAAGAGUGUCUUGCCUACAGUCAAGCAUGGUGGUGGGAGUGUCAUAGUCUGGGCCUGCACAAGUGCUGCUGGCACUGGGGAGCUACAGUUCAUUGAGAGAAUGCACAUGCGCGGCAAGAGGUGCGCGCGCAUUUAAACCGCCCAUAGGAAAGCAUUACUCAAUGCUUUCCUAUGGACGUUCAGUGUCUUCUCACUGUGAUUUUCACAGUGAGAAUCGCGGAAGCUCCUCUAGCAGCUGUCAAUGAGACAGCCACCAGAGGCUGGAUUAACCCUCAGUGAAACAUAGCCGUUUCUCUGAAACGGCUAUGUUUUCAGCUGCAGGGUUAAAACUAGAGGGACCUGGCACCCAGACCACUUCAUUGAGCUGAUGUGAUCUGGGUGUCUGUAGUGGUCCUUUAAGUGUGUGUGCAUACCGCGGUCGCGGGGUCGCAGCCCUGCGACCAGGUGCCCGCCGCCAUGUGUCGCGGCCCCGACCCGCGCCGAGUAAGCGUGGGGGGGGGGGCCCUGGAUCAAUUUUCGCACAUGGGUCAUGUGUACGUCACUGAUUACUAGAACCAUGUCCUGUGGUCUGAUGAGACCAAGAUAAACUUAUUUGGUUCAGAUGGUGUCAAGCGUGUGUGGCGGCAACCAGGUGAGGAGUGCAAAGAGUGUCUUGCCUACAGUCAAGCAUGGUGGUGGGAGUGUCAUGGUCUGGGCCUGCACAAGUGCUGCUGGCACUGGGGAGCUACAGUUCAUUGAGAGAGCCAUGAAUGCCAACAUGUACUGUGACAUACUAAAGCAGAGCAUGAUCCCCUUCCUCUCUCGACUGGGCCGCAGGGCAUUAUUCGAACAUGAUAACAAUCCCAAACACACCUCCAAGACGACCUCUGCCUUGCUAAAGAAGCUGAAGGUAAAGGUGAUGGACUGGCCAAGCAUGUCUCCAGAUCUAUACCCUAUUGAGCAUCUGUGGGGCAUCCUCAAACGGAAGGUGGGGGAGCGCAAGGUCCCUAAUAUCCACCAGCUCCUUGAUGUCAUCAUGGAGGAGUGGAAGAGGACUCCAGUGGCAAUCUGUGAAGCUCUUGUAAACUUCAUGCCCAUGAGGGUUAAGGCAGUGCUGGAAAAUAAUGGUGGCCACACAAAAUAUUGACACUUUGGGCCCAAUUUCGACAUUUCCACUUAGGGGUGUACUCACUUUUGUUGCCAACGGUUUAGACAUUUAUGGCUGUGUGUUGAGUUAUUAAGGGGACAGCAAAUUUAUACUGUUAUACAGGCUGUACACUUACUACUUUACAUUGUAGCAGUGUCAUUUCUUCAGUGUGAUCACAUGAAAAGAUAAAAGAAAAUAUUUACAAAAAUGUGAGUGGUGUACUCACUUUUGUGAGAUACUGUGUGUGUGUGUGUGUGUAUAUAUAUAUGUGUAUAUAUGUAUAUCUAUAAUCAGAGUAAUGCUUAAUCUGGAUUUUAAAAAAAUCUUGUUUUAUUUUAUUUAUGUUUUUAUGUCUAAAACAGUUAAAUGGUUAUUGUAGCUUAUUAUAGUAUUAAUAUAUAAUGGUAUUGGGGUUUACUAUAUGUAUUUUUUUCCCCUUGUAGGUUGACUUAUGACCAAAAUAUUUAUGCUACUUUAUCUUGGAAACAUGUUCAAGAACAAUCUUGUCAUGUGCAG
rnacentral:lncRNA from 1 species